rnacentral:lncRNA from 1 species
AAAAAUGAACUUGAUUUAAGUAGGCUUUCUUGAUAACCUGCUAUUGUUUUGCAUAGGGGCUACUAUGUAUAUGAAACUAUUAUAUCAGUGUUUUUAUAAUUUCUCUAUAUGCUUUGAUUUGAAGAUGAAUAAGGAUAAAAGCAUUGUUUUCUUUGGUGGAGUACCUACUGACACCCAAGAGGAACUACUAGAGCUAUUAGAGUUUUUAUAAGGGGGAGAUUUUUGUUAGAUAUUCAAGAAUUCCUUUAAGCACAAAAUGUUUUUAAUCUUAUGAUGUCAUCCAUUGAUAGAAAAAUAAUUAGUAAAAUCCAAUCAUUGACUUCCUACAUUUUUAUCUUACCUAGGCAAGUUACAACUUAUAAUGAGCAUUUUGUUCUCGUACCAGACCUUUUGUUCACAAAUAUUUUAUACCAUCCCAAAAGGUGCUCGAUUUGAUGGAAGUUGCGUGUAUAUCUUUUUAUGAAUAAGAGGAUCCGACCAAUCAAAAAAGUCAUUACUUGCCUGGGACAACGUGUGCUACCCUAAGACAGUGGGGGGCUUUAAUGUUAUUGUCAUAAUGAAGUAGAAUAAGAAAAUCAUUUUUAAGCAUUAUUAAAACCUUUGUAAGAAGUAAAAUAAGUCGUAGAUAUAGUAGGUUCACAUCUACUAUAUCAAGGGAAAAAUCAAUGACAAAGGUUGGUCUAAGGCAGGUUGCAUGGAUCAUUGAAGAGAUAACUAAAGCACGUGAGAUAGUGGAGUUGAGUCAUGAUCAUGAUGUUUUUGUACAACUUAGAGAGUUUCAAAUUAAGACUAUAUAUAGUGAUUUGAGGGAAAACUUGCCAAAGGUCAACUGAAAAAGAAUGGUGUGUAAUAACACUGAUUGUCCCAAAUGGAUAUUCACUUGACAAUGGCGGUUCUUGGGAAAUUAUACACAAGAGAUAACUAGCAAACUGAUAGAUCACUAAUAACACUGUCUAUCCACUUCGUGAUGAUAAAGAGGAAACAAAUGAAUACCUAUAAUUUCACUAUAGAUAUGCAACAUGGGGGAGGCAACUAAAAUGGUUGCAGAUUUAGACGAUUCCCUUGAGGUGGUCCUGGGAGCUAGAUUGAGAUAUAAAACAUACAAAAAAGACUCAAGUUUAUAAGUUGAUGCUCUCAUUUUGUUCUUACUAUGUCUAGCAAUAAAGAAAUUGUAGUCUUCCAAGGGAAAGCUCAGAGUAGUGAAGAGUUAUAUAAAGUCAUUGUAAGAAAGGUGCACUGUAGAGGAAAUACUCAGAUUAAGGGGAACGGCCACCUCCAGGAAUAAAAAUGAGAAGAAAAAAUAAAAAUAAAGUUCGAGAAAUAUGAAAGAAAAAGAAAAAAUGAGAAAUAAUAAAAACAAAAAAUAAAAGAAAAAUAAAGGUUGAGACAAAUAAAUUAAAAAAGAAAUAAAAAAUAAAAGAAAAAUAAAGGUUGAUACAAUGAUUUAAAACAAGAAAGAAAGAAAGAGAAAAGAAAAAAAUAAAAAUUAAGGAAAAAUUCAAAAGAGAAAAAAAAAAAUAGAAACUGAGACAUAAAUAAUCAUUGAAAGCAUAAAACAUUUAAGUGUAAGGGACAAAAGUGCAUUUGUUCUAUACAUAAAAUGGAAAAGGACUAGUCUUUAAACACGUUUCUUCUAGGGGAUGUUUCAAAAAUAGCAAGAGUUUGGCACAAAAUCCACCUUUCAUAACCACACUUUACAAUAUUACCAUUUAUAACUGAUGUAUUUGAUUCACGUCCAUUGUAUUUGCUUUUACUUAAUAAUUUGUAUUCAUAUAAAACAUAAAUACAUUAAUUACAUUUUAUAUUUUUUUUUAUUUUCGAAAAACAUAACUACAUCGAAUACAAGUCAUGAAUGAUGAUGGAAACAUCAUAACCGCGCAUUGUAUUUGUAUUUAUCAUCAUUUUUUUAUUCUUUUCUCUUUUAUAAUUUCUUUUUACUUUUUGAUUUUUUUUUCUAUUUUUUUUUCUUUUUUCUUUUUCGAUUCUUUCUUUAGCUUUUUGUAUUUUUUUCCUUUUUCCUUUUUUCUUUUUUCUUUCUUUUCUUUUAUAUUUUUGCUUUUUCUUUUUUUUCAUUCUUUUUCUUUUUUUUUCUAUCUCUAUUUUCUAUUUUUCUUUCUUUUUUUUGUGUGUUCUUUUUUAUUUUCUUUUUUAUACCUUUUUUUUUCUAUCUCAUAUUUUUUGUAUUUUCAAAAAAUAUGGCUAUUUGAGUACAAGUCAAUAAUAAUAAUAAUAAAAAUACCAUGAUUAUUUAUCAUAUUUGUAUUCACAUCAUCAUUUAUAUUUUUGUAUUCGUUGAUACAAUUAAAUAUAGUUCGUGCUUGUUUUUGUAUAUAUAUUAUAGUUCGCAUUUGUAUUUUAUAGUUCGCACUUGUAUUUGUAUUUAUAGUUCGCACUUGUAUUUGUAUGUUAUAGUUAGCAUUUGUAUUUGUAUUUUAUAUUUCGCACUUCUAUUUGUGUUUCCUAAUGCGCACCGUUAUUUAUAUUUUAUACAAUUCACCUUUGUAUUUUAAACAAUUAUUGUGUAUUUUUAUUGUAUAAUUGGUUGAACAUUGUAUUUAUAUUUUGUGGUUUCAUUUUAUUUAUAUUUGUGUAUUAUUUUUAUUGAUGCACUUGUAUUUUUAAAGAACGAUUUUGUAUUUAUAUUUGUAAGUUAGCCACAUAUUGUAUUUUUAUUCAUACCAUCAUUAAUAUUCUUGUAUUCGUUGAUAUAAUUUUAUCUAUAUUUAUAUUUUAAAGUUCACGCUUGUAUUGGUAUUUUGUAGUUCACAUUUAUAUUUGUAUUUUACAGUUCGCACUUGUAUUUGUAUUCGUUAGUUCGCACUAUCAUUUAUAUUUUAUAUAAUUCGCACUUGUAUUUUAAAGAAUUAUUUUGUAUUUGUAUUUGUAUUUUAUAAUUGACUGCAUAUUGUAUUUGUAUUUUGUGAUUUUAUUAUUUUUGUAUUUAUAUUUGUAUUCUAUUUUCGUUGGUGUAUUUGUACUUUUACAGAAUUAUUUUAUAUUUGUAUUUGUAAGUUGAUCGUAUAUUGUAUUUGUAUUUAUAAUUUCAUUUGUUUGUAUUUGAAUUUGUAGUUGACAACAUCAUUUAUAUCUUUAAACAAUAGAAAAAAAUUGUUAUUUUUCUUUCUAUGAAGACUUGUAUUUACAUUUAUUGAUACAAUUUCCAUCAUAAUAAAAAUAAAAAUAAUAAAUUAUACAAAGACAAAUGUUACAUUUGUAUCAAUGACACAUGUUUAUACAACUUGAACCAUACGCAUACUUAUUUAUAUACAAAUAUAAAUGAUAAAUUUGAAAUAUGAAACACAAUGAUAUAUUUGCAUUGAAAGACAAAUUGCAUAUUUAUAUAUUUUAGUCUCAAGCAAAUACCAUUAAUCAAUAUACUUAUUUAUAUACAAAUAUGAAUGAUAAAUUAUACAUAUUCACAACUAAACUAUUCAACUACAAAUAAUAAAUUUAUUUAAAAUAUAUAGUAUGAUACAAAUAAAUAUAAAAUAUAAAAUACAACAACAAACGAAAAAAAAUAAAAAGAAAUAAAAAAAGGAGAAAAAUGACCAAAAAAAUAAAAAAGAACAAAAAACGAAUCAAAGAAAAUACAAAAAAAAAGACUGCAAAAAAAAGAAAUAAAGAAAAAGAUGAAAAAAUAGAAAGAAAUAUUAAAAAAAAAAGAGAAAAAAGAAAAAGAAAAUACGAUUUAGGCUACAAAUAUGGUUGUACUAGCGUGUAAGGCUACAAACCGCAAUUAAUGUAAACUAUAGCAAGUGUUUAGGCUACAAUAGGUAAUUAUGGUAAAGUAUAGUUGUAAGUGGUAAUUACAGCCCACUAGGGACUAUUAGUGGUAGUUUUCCCUUUCUUUUAUGAGGAACAAAAAUACAAAGCUACCCACUAUGGGGGUAUCCAAUGUAAUUUGCUAGCUAGAAAGACAUUUCUCCCUUUUAUUUUGAUGAAUGAAAUGUUUGAAUAAAUCACGUCAUAUCUUAUUUUUUAUAUCUUUUUUUUAUUUCCUACCAAAUAUCUGAUACCCAUAUUAGAGGUCGACCAAUUAAAUUUCGCACCAUAUAGGAUAUAUUCAAAGAAAGCACUACUUACCAAUUAUUUUUUCAGCAUGACUCAAAUUCGAGAUCUCUGAUUAAGGGAGAUACAAUCUCAUCCGCUAUGCUAUAUUCUUUGGUGGUAUGCUAUAUUCAAUUUUUAUAGUCACGGUAUUCGAAUCAGCUUGCACGCAUCUUAAUUAAUUCUAUGAAAUAUCACCUCCCACUAACAAUAGAUAUCAGGUAACUUUGUAUAUUCGAUCAUUACAUAAUAUUAUGUCAUCAAUUUAAAAAAUAAAUCUAUAAAAAAGAUAUUUUCUAAUUAUAUAAGAAGGAGUUGGGCGGCUAAUGCAAGUUGCUCACCGUCGACAUGCCUGCUUCAGUUGCUUGUUUCGUGAUUUUACUAUAUCACCCCUAAUUAAUUAUUAUAAAUUAUUUAUAUAUUAAAAAAAUUAAUAAUAUUUAAUAAAAAAAAUAAAAUAGACAUUUAUGAGAUGUCUACUUCAGUUGUUUCAAUCAUAAUUUUACUAAAUAUCACCCUAAUUAAUUAUUAUAAUCUAUCUAAAUAUUUAAAAAAUAAUAGUUAAUAUAAAAAGGUAAAAUAGAUAUAAAAUGAUAAGUUAAUUCUUGAUGUUUUAAAUUAACUUCAAGUCUUAAAUGAGGCCCACUUAAAUUCUUUUUCACAAAUACUUUUUAUAGUAAUUUUACUAUAUCACUUCUAGAUAUUUGUUGUGAAUCUUUUAAGACAUGUCUGCUUCGCUGCUUCAAUCGUGAUUUUACUAUAUCACCUCUAAUUAAUUAUUAUGAUCAUCUAAGCAGGGGUUUUGGAUUGUUGGUGACAAAAGAGUUUUAAAAUGAGGUGUAGGUGACACAAGUUUUAAUAAUUGAGUGGAUGUGACAAUUACUUUAUUAUGGAUUAAGAAAGUUAGGUAAGUUUGAGAAUAGCCCAGAAGUUUUUAAAUUUAUACUUUGAUCCAAAUGUUUACCUAAUAUAACAGGAAAUGGAGAAAAAAAAAGCACCUUUCUCUAUCUUAUCAUCCAUUGUUGUUUUCUCUCUCUUAGCAAUUUUUGUUAUUUAUUGUUGCUGCUACUCUAUUCAUCAUCUUCUGCUUCAUUAUCAUCAUCUUCUACUUCAUUAUCAUCUUCAUCUUUUUCUUGUUGACCAUUGUUGUUAUUUGACCAAUUUCUUAGGUCAAAUUUUAUUUCGUACAUCACUUUCCACUUUGACAUUACUUCAUAGGAGACUUUGGUAAGUCAAAUUAUGAUUUUUAGUUGAAUUUGUCAUCUGGUAACUGCUAUUAUGUUGAUUUUUCAAUAAUAGAUAGCACGCGAACAUGAAUGCAAUAUAAGAGCCAUCUGUUGCGACAGAUGAGAUAUCUGUUUCAACGGAAGACUCAUAUGUUGGAAUCAUAUUUAUGUUCUAUAGCGCCAUAACAUGAAUCGAAUAGAUAGGUGAUCUGUUGCAACAUAUGACCCAUGUGUUACAUCAGAUGAGUUAUCUGGUGCAACAUAAUAAAUAUUUGUUGCAAUAUAUUAGUAACCUAUUGCAAUAGAACCUGAAUUCAAUUCCGACAGACGUGUGUCUGUUGCAACAAGGUAAAUAUCUAUUGUAACAGAUUAGUAACUUGUUGCAACAGAACCUGAACUCGAUUCCAAUAAAUGGUAAAUAUAUGUUGCAAUAUAUUAGUAACCUGUUGAGAUAGAACCUGACCUCGAUUCCAACAGAUCAUCGUCUAUUACAAUAGAUAAGUCAUCUAUCACAACAAGUUAAUUAUUUGUUGCAACGUGUUACUCAUCUAUUGGAAUCGACUUCAAAGGUGACUUAGUACUGUAACAUCUAUCCCAAUAAAUAUUUCAUCUGUUACAACAGAUAUAUAGUCUGUUGUAAUAUAUGAUUUACCUGUUACAAUAGAUGACUCAUCUGUUGAAAUCAACUUCAGAAGCAUAAUAUGAAUCCCAAUAUGUAAGUAAUCUAUUGCGGGUGAUCAGUUACCCAUUGCAAUAGAUUACACAUCUGUUGGGAUUCAUUUAUGGCACUAUGAAAUCACUAUUAACUUUUUUUAACAAAUGACUCUAUUUAGGUACCACUAAUGGAGGGAUCAAUAACAAUAAGGGUGGAUUGUCAUAGUUAAUAGAUCGAGAAGAGCAAUCGAUAUGUAUGGCAUUGGAAGGAAGGUGAAAUACUAGAGAUGAUAGCUAUGACAGUCCAAAACGAUAUUUCGUAUAAUAAUUUUUUGAACUUAAUCAUCAGCUAUUGUGGACUGAAUUAUCAAUUGAAAGAACUUGUCAUCAGCUACAUGCACAACUCCUUUGAAAAUCAGAGGGUACUACCUUUCAAGAUAACCGAUUAGGUUCGGUUACGUGCUUAUCUUAGUAAUUCAUCUAGGUCAGUGUUAAGGGUGUACGUGGUUAAAAAUAUGAGAGAGAAUAAGAACCGGAACGUAAAAGAAGAACAAGAAUAAGAUAUAUUUGAUGAUAGAUUGGAUGAUCUAGACAUGAAUAUUCCAGAUGAUGAUCAAACACCUACGCCCAUUGAUGCAACCAAUACGGUGGGCGGUUCUUCUCGAUCGACACAGUCUGGCAAUCUUCAAGACGAUGGACCAACUUUUUCAAUGGAAUGUCAUUCACGGACAAGAAUGAACUAUCUACCACUUUGUUUAUUUCUUGCUUGAAAAAAAAUUUCAGAAUAAAGAAGGUGAUUAAUUCGAGCAGUGUCUUUUGCUACAAAUGUGCUAAUCCAAAUACAAGUGGUUGUUGAGAGCGGUAAAGUACGUAAGUUCUGAUAGAUUUGUCAUUCAUAAAUAUAAAAAGCAUCACACAUGUGGUUCGGAGAACAUCUCGGGCCAAAAUCCUCAUGCCACGGCAAAGGUCCUUGGUGAAUAUUUCAAGAAUUAUUUCCCCGAUGGAAAAGGGCCCUUCUACAAGGGUUAUGGCCAAUCAACUCCUUACAGAAUUGGUUGUCCUGGUUAGUUAUUGGAAGAUAUAUACGGCCAUGGGGAUUGCUAAGGACUUGUUUAGGGGGACACACAAGUAUGGGUAUGCAGUCCUGGAUGCCUACCGUUACAUGAUUAAGUCCAUAAAUCCCAAAAGUAACAACAACAAUAAACCCAGUGUAUUCCCACCAAGUAGGGUAUGGGGGGUAGAAUGUACGCAGUCUAUACCGCUACCUCCAAAGAAGUAGAGUGGCUAUUUUUGAUAGACCACUGGCUCAAGAUACAGAAUAGUUAACAAGGUCAUGGUAAUACAUGAAGCAGGAUGGGUGGCAUAACCGAAAAUAAAAAAUAAGAAAUAAUAGUAAUAGAAAUAAGAGAGACAUGAAAAUAAGCACAAUACGAAAAUAAGAAAAAGGAAAUAAGAAAUAAGAAAAGGAUACCCACCUAGUAGUAGAAUACACUAGCAGCUCCUACCAAAGGACACAUUCCUAGGGUUACUAAACCGGCUACACAAGAGCUCCCUAACUACUAGUCACAACCCACACACGCACUAGCCUUCUACCCUUAUUCGCGACCUCAACACCUUCCUAUCUAGGGUCAUGUCUUCUGUAAGUUGUAGCAUCUUUAAGUACUUUUCUGUAUCCUAUGGUGCUUAGAUUCAAGGUUUUUGACAUUUGAGAAAAGGCAUAGCCAUCGACGGUACCUUUUUGAGAAGCAGAUAUAAUGGAGUGCUACUAGCGGCGGUGGCGCAGGAUAUGGAGAAUCAUAUUUUUCCUGUCGUUUUUUGUGUAGCAGACAGAGAAUGUGAUGCCUCUUAUGGAUUUUUUCGAACAAUUGCAAAGAUGCAUCGAAGAUACCAAAGAGUUGUGUUUUAUUUUGGAUAGACAUCCAAGUAUUUCAAAUAUGGGUUCAAUUUUUUUUACUUCAACUUACUUUGGUUGUUGCAUCGGGCAUCUUAGAGAGAACAUUCAGAUCAACUAUCACAACGAAAGGGUCGUGUCCCUUUUUUAUAGAGCAGCUAAAGCAUAUAGUAGAGAGGAGUUUUCAUACCAUAUCAAUCAAAUAAUGGAUGUGAAUCUCAAGGUAGUAGAACUUCUCAUACGUGUCAAUUUCGAGAGAUAGAGCCGGGUAUUCUGUCCGGCAGAUUGGUACAUUCUUAUGAAUUUAAUGUCUUGUUUGAGUUAUAUGUUUAGUAUGAUGUUGUACUAAGUGAUUCUUUUGUAUCGGUACAAUAUUAUGACAUUAAACAUAGCUAAAUCGGUGAAUUCAUUGUUUGACAAUGAAAGAGAAUUUCUCAUCAAGGCUCUGUUUGAAAUAAUAAAUACGAAGUAUGGCCAAUUUUUUAACGAAAGACGUGUGUAGUUAAAGGGACCAAGAAGAACCCCAUUUGUUCUAGAAAUCAAAAAAAUAUUAUCAAUGAACAUCAGUUUAGGGAUAGGUUACUAUCUCAUAAAAUAGCAGAUUACAAAUUCAGUAUCACCGGUCAUGGUGAUGUUGCCACGGUCGAUCUUCAAACAAGAUCUUGUAUGUGCAGAGUUUUUGACUUGGACAAAAUACCCUGUCCACAUGCUAUGAUAUAGCUUUGAGCUCAAUACGGUCCAAAAUAUGUACCUAAAGUUUACGAGCACUCUUCUCAAUAUUAUUGGGUGGAAAAAUAUGAAAUGGGAUAUAGUGGGCAUAUUACUCUGGUGCCUCCCGAAGAAUCUUGGGUUAUUCCUGCAGAGCUUUUGGGGAGAUUAAUACCUACUUCAUAUAUUGACCCAAGCACUAUCAAACCAGGAAGAAAUCCAUAUAAGAGGAUACGUGGAGUCAGAGAAUUAUUUUCAUCAAGAAGAAACAAGUGCUCUGUGUGUAAGCGCGCGCCCAGAUCGUAAUCCACCAUGAUCAUUAUAAUUGCAAAAACUUGUGUUGUUGUUUGUUGUGGAUUUUUAUAUAUUUAAAUCAUUGUUGUGAACAUAAUGUUAUCAUUAAUUAUUUAUAAAAUAUCUUUUUGAAUAACUUCUACAUCAAUAAAAAAAGGCAAAACAUGAAAUAAAUAAUACAGCAAACCACAAUUAUUUUCAACAAAUUACACAUCUGUGGCAACAAAUGGACAUUAGCUGGAAGAACACAACACAGUUCCAUCAAAAUGGAACAUUUUCGUCCAACAGAUGACAAAUCUAUUGCAACAGAUGGAUAAUCUAUUGACAGAAACCCAACCAAUGAUCAAUCUAUUCCAACACAUGGUCCAUCUGUUGAAAGAACUCAAAAGCCGAAAUUACUAUUGCUACUGGAUUCAAAAUUGCUCCUUGCCUCCAACCAUCGACAUAUUAACAUGUAUGUAUGUUUAGAAGAAAUAAACAGAAUGAAAAUUGAAUAAGAAUUAAAAAGCCAAAGUUGACUAAAAAUAAAUUUUUUAUUAAAUGAAAAUAAAAUACAUUAGGUAUAUAUACGAUGUAUAAAAAUUAAAAUACAUACGCUAAAAGAAAAACACAUUCUAAUUAUUAUUAUUAUCAUCAUCAUCAUCAUUAAUGACAGCCAGUCAAUCAAGUCGCAACAACAGGGCCCUCAUCAGCCUCUGUAUCUCUCUGAACAUCGUCGCUCUCACGGCGACCAACUCUUUUGCAGGUCAUUAACCUGCCUCUGAAGUUCCUGCACAGUGUCGCGCAGAAUAGCAAUGUACCAAACAUAAUCAUCCAUAUGUAGAACACGCAUGAAUUGACAAAUGUAAAGAAAAGAGUCCAAAUGUAAUACAACGUAGUACUACCAACUGGUAGAUUUACACCGAAAAAAACUUACCUCAACAAGAAAGGAAUAUGCUCUUUGAAUAGAAGUGGCUGAAGAUGUCACACGAAAAGAAAAAAUGCAAAAAUAAAUAAAUUUGAGUAGAAUAAAGAUUAAGUAGGGAUCUAUUUAUAGAGGAUUGAAUCUGGAUGCGUCGGACAAAAAGGCACGAUUGUUCAGCUCCAUUGUAUUAAUUAUAUUCAAACUGGUGGCAUUUUAUUUUUUGUGAAAAGUCACAACUUUUUCUUUACAUUAAUACUUCUAACCUUUUAAAAAUGGUUUGAGACUUGAUAACAGCUGUUAUUAUUGAGUUAUUGCAACAGAUCUUCCAUCUGUCACAAUAGAUUUACCAUCUAUUUCAACAGAUGGUCUGUAUAUGUAACAAAUGAUCUAUCAAAACAGAUUUACCAUCUAUUACAACAGAUAGUUUAUAUGUGCAACAGAGACAUCUGUUGCAACAUAUGUAUUAUCUAUUGCGACAGAUGGACCAUCUAUUGGAGGAUAUGUUUUGAUUUCUUCUGAUAACUGAUUUAAAAGUUGCAACAGAUGGAGAAUUCAAUUUAUCAGCUGUUUUAAAUGUGUUAGAUAAAAAGUCACGACUUUUCACCUCUUUUUCAAUAGUCAUCACAUGCGUGUAGAUAAAUAAACACUAUUUGGUCUGUCGCAACAGAUUUACCAUCUAUUGCAAUAUCUGUUACAACAUAUGUAUUAUCUGUUACGACAAAUGGACCAUCUGUUGGAUGAGAUAUUUUGAUUUCUUCUAACAGCUGAUUCAUCAGUUGCAACAGAUGGAGAAUUCUAUAUGUCAGUUUUUUUUAAUGUGUUAGGUAAAAAGUCAUGAUUCUUCACCUCUUUUUUAAUAGUCAUCACAUACGUGUAGAUGGAUAAAAACUAGUGUCUGACAUGUCUUGAUGGGGUAAGAAGAAUAAGGUGCGUGCAGAUGAAUGGAUCCACUUUCAUGCGCAGGAGUUAUGUAUUAUUAUCAGGCUACCAUGAUAGACCCACAUAAAGUACAAUGAUUUUAUGAAUGCGGUUUUUUACCAAUUAGACAUUGAUCCUUCAAAUAAGAUCUUAUAUUGUACAAUUUAGUUUGAUAGGUGUGAACUGAUAAGGUCGAAGGGUUCCAAGACGAUGGUGUCGUUAUCCUGUUACAAUUUAAUGACGGUUUAUGCUCAUAUUUUUGUGUUAAUUUUAGGAAAAGGUUUAAGUUUUUGGCUGCAAUGUAAAUAUGUAAUAGUGAUUGGACUGAUUUUAAUGGUGCAAUGAACUUCUUGAAAGGCCUCCACAGCCUCGCACUGCAGCAAAUAAUGAUGGGACCGACAAAAAUUCUCCUGGUCUAAAUUUAUACGAAUAGGUUGCUCGAGGAGACUAUUAUACAAUAGAGGUGCUUGGGAGAAUACCUGUACAGGAAGGGGGAGGUGGGGAAGAUCAUAUAUCAUCUCAGACCUUGUUUAAGAGAAAACACAAGAAAGCAAGUAAGGAACUUCUAGCGAAUCUGGCUAAUGAAAUUGACAUAAGAAAUAAAAAAAAACUGAAUGAGCUUCAAAUGUGGAAGUGUAUCCAAAUAUAAAAAUCCAUCAGUCGUUGAAGAAAAAAAAGAAUGGUCAAGACGACUGAAGUUGGUCACUUUGCUAGAGACUGCAACUAGUGAGAGUAGCCUCAAUGAAGACUCACAAAGUGCAAGACCAGAACUUUAAGGAAGAAGCUUCGUGAGCAUAGGAGGUUGGUAACAUUUUCAGUCAAGAAUGAAACAUGAACUAAUAAAUGCAGAAGUAAAAAUAAGGGAAGCCAAUGUGUUAAUUUCUGAAGUCUAACUUGCAUACCAUGCCUUCUGUUUGUGUCUAUGAUCAGGUCAAUGGCAGUAGAAGUAAAAAGGUCUGAAGUUGGGCAAAAAUCCCAUGCCUUGUUGUUUCCACUGGCUUUGACCUGACCAGAGCCAUAAACAGGAGGCAUAGGAUGCAAGUUUAACUUGAGAAAUUGCCAUCUUGGAUUAAUCCCUUAUUUUUAAUUCAGGAGUAGUUGGUUCAGGUUUUAAUUCUGACCACAAUCUUUCCACCUUCUGUGCUCGCAAAGCUGCUUCCUUAGAGUUCUGGUCCUACAUUAUAUGGGUCUUCAUUCAGGCCACGCUAGCUAGUUGCAGCCCCCUAACAAAGUGUACAGCUCCACUCUACUUGAGCAUUUUUCUUUUUCAAGAACGAAUGAUGGAUUUUCAUUUUUUGGAUACACUUUCACAUUCGACGCUCAUUCAAUUUUUUCAUUUUUCAUGUCAAUUUCAUCAGCCAGUUUCGCUAUAUUUCUCUUCCUACCCUGUGUUUCUUCUUUAUUAUGGUCUGAUUUGAUAUAUGGUCUUCUCCACCUCCUCCUUCCCGUACAAGUAUUCUUACAAUAACCUUCUUCUAUAUAAUAGUCUCUUCGAUUAACCCAUCCAUAUAAAUUUAUACCAGAGCAAUAACUAUAUUUAUUUCAAUUCUUGUUUGCAACAGUACGAGGCUUCGGAGGCCUUUCAAAAGUCCAUUGAACCAUUAAAGUCAGUGCAAUCGCUAUUUGAAUAUUUACACUGCCACCAAAAACCUUAACCCUUCUCCAAACUUGACACAUAAACAUUAGCAAAAUCUUAAUUAAACCAUAACAGGGUAUCAACACCACCUACUUGGUCCCUCAGCCUUACCAGUCGAACUUAACAAUCUUAACCGUAAAAUGUCAUAUCUUGUUUGAAGAAUUAACACCUAAUAGGUAAAGAACCAACAUUCACAAAAUCAUUGUACUGGAUGUGUGUUUUCACGAUAGGUUGAUUAGUAAUACAUACCUCCCACAUAUGAAGUAGUUCCAUCUGCAAGCAGUUAUACCUCUAAACCCAUUUUUACUCUAGCCUUUAAUACUGGUCAGGCAAAAUUUGAUCCAGUUUCACUUCCUUUUAUCUGUAAACAAGAGAAAUACAUUUGAUGUCAAACAAGAGAAUAACAAAAAGAACAUUACAAAAGGGUAACAUAAAAUUGAAUAAAUUAACAGAUGACCAAUCUGAUGCAACAGAUUCCCUAUCUAUUCAACUGAUGAGGCAUCUGUUGCAACAGAUGGAUGACAUGUUGCAACAGAUGGGUCAUCUAUUGGAAUAAAUUAAACCAACCUUGCUACUAGUUUGAUUUCUUCAAACAGUUGCUCAGUCUAUUUCAACAGUUGAUUCAUCGGUUACAACAGUUGAUGAAACUGUUGCAACACCACCAACAACAGCAUCAACAAUAAAGAAAUAGCACUAUAUGUUCCAACACCAUCAAUAACACAAACACCAUAUAUUCCAACACCACCACCACCUCCAACAACAGCACCACUAAAGUAAAAAACAAAAUACAUAUAAAACUAUACUGACAACAAGGUUUUUUAAGUUUUCAAAAUAGAUGACUUUUUUCAUAUUUUAAUAAAACUAAUGGUUCAUUCAUUCAAGACUAAAAAGUCACCUUUCCUUCAAUCUUCUCAAUAAAUAGGAAAAUGGUAAUGGGUAAAUCAUUAAUAGCAAUAAAUGUAAAUAUCUAAUUUAAAUAACAUACAAAGAAGAAGACGGGAAGGAAAGGGCAAUAGUGAACCAUACCUACAAUGUCAAAAAAGCAAAGGGAUCAGAACAUCCAGUUCAGUCGAGAAAAGAUAUUGAUAGGUUAGGUGUAAUGACCCGAGACUACCCCCAAGUCGGCACAUGGUGCUUGUGACCCCAAAAGACCACAAGCUAACCUAUGAAUGAUAUCUGUUGUGAGCACUGAACAAUAAUACUGAAAUAAAUACGGAAUAAUGGGCUGAAAUGCCAUAAGGUUCAAAACAUCUAAAAUACUAAUAAAAUAUAACACCUGUAAAACUAAAUACUGUAUAAAAAUUAAGUCUGAAAAGCCUCUAACUGGAUCUUUCUGAAAGUGGAGUUGAUGGGACAAUCCCCCAACUAACUCCAUUUACUAAAAUACUGCUAAGCUAAAGUACUAAGAUAAAAAAAUAUCCUUGAUAGAUUAGGACUCAUAGCUAAAUCUAUUACUGCUGACUGAAUCUGGCUAAGCGUGGUCAAUAACUUAAGCAUCUGAACCUAAGAUAUGAAAUAUCAUAGCACAAGAAACGGGUAUGUGGUCAGUACGUGGGAAUGUACUGGUAUGCUAAAUGAGGUAAGGCUAAAUACAUGGGUUCAUAUGCAUAAACCAUAACUAACUGAAUAAUAUGCAAGAGCUGGAUUAGCAUACAUAGAGAAACUGUAACUACUGAACAUACUGUGCCUACUGUGAUUGAGUAUACUGGAACUGAAUUAGAUAACUGAUAACUGAAUAUACUAAUAAUCUAAAUUACUAUUAACUGAGUGAUUAUAUCUAACAGCCCUGAUUCUAUAGAAUUAAACUAAGUUCUAUUUUGAAGACUGAGAUCGAAACUAAAACUAUGGGAGGUAAUUAUCUAACAGACAUACCCCAAAUAAGAUAAGAUAAUUGAGAUGGGGUCCAAUCUGUAACCCCAAUUGGAAGGGUGUUAGUACCAUGCCACGGGUAAAGACAAGCUGAAGAGUAACCCUCAACUGGUAGAUUCCCUAAACGAGAACUGUGUUACCUUCUACUGGCAGGUAGAUCACCUCAUCAACCCUCAACUGGCAGGUGUGAUGUCUCCACCUACGCUGGCUACAUAGUUCUAGAAUACAAGAAUUGCUUCUAAGGAUCACACCCUCUGCUGGCAGGUGAGCCCCCAUCCUUGGGUUCACUCGGUGAUGAAUCCUACUCCUAACUGAAAGACACUGAACUAUUAUACUGGACUAAACUGGACUAAAUUUAUUGAGAUUACAGAGUUUUCCUAAGUUUUGUAACUGACUGAGUUCUACUAAGUUUUGUAACAGACUGAGAGUACUACUGAUCAUGACAUGACUGAUACUAUUCUGUAACUGACACUGGCUCUAAAUAAAUAGCUAAGUUAUCGGGUAUUAAAUACCCCCAGGACUCGAUAGCAUGGAAAGUAAAGUAAAGCAUAAUCUUGAAUAACAUAACAAUGUUCACUUGGUCAUAAUUCAUUCAUAGAGACAUUCCAUCAAACACGUGUAAUGCAUUAACUUGUACAUGAAUGGGGAAUACAUGUUAUCAUACUAUAAUGGCGUCAUUUUAUUCUCAUAGACAAUUUAUCAAACACAUAAGAAGCAUUCUUGGUUUAUUAAAUCAUAAAUACUUAGGGUUAACAUGGUUACAACAAUCAACUAACAAAUUGAAAGUUUUAUCAUGAAUACCAUGUAAUUCAACACAUACUAGAAUCAAUUCUUGAAACUUGUAAUCUAAAUUAUGGAUACAACAUCAUGAACAUAAAUUCAAUCUAAUUCAAACAUGGAAAUCAUAAAUCACAAAUCUUGUAUUUUGAAAAAGGAUUCUUGGGCUCUAUGGAAGGUAAGGAUCCAUUGAUAAACAUCUAAAAUACCUUGAUUGAUGAGUUCUUAGAGAAAUUCUUGGGAUUGACCUUGAUUCUUGAGAGCUAGGGUUUGCUUUCUUAAGAGAGAAUUAUCCUUUGAUUUUGGGAAAAAAGUGAAUAAUAAGGGGUUUUACACAUUUUUAGGGCUUAAAUCCCACAUCUGGACGGAAUAAAAUCAUGGGAAAAAACUAUUUUAACCUUAGGCGCAACUUUAAUUUUUUGAGAAACUUUUCCGAUCUGGACCCCUAGCACGAUGCGGCGCUAUCAUGUCAUGUUACUGGAAAAUGACAACUGAGAAAUUGCACGGUGGCAUGAUGUAGUGGUAUCGCAUUACCACUUUUGUCAUGAACUGGAAGUACACCACGACGCGGUGGAAUCGCAUUGGUACACUGGAAAUUGACAAUUGUGAACUAGGUCUAUGGCGCGAUGCGCCAACAUUGCAGAGCAAUACUAAAAGCUGACAAUUGCUAUUUUAACACACUCCGUGAUGCGCUACUGACCUAAAUGACGAUGUUUAAUGACUGAAUUUUUAAAAUCGUCAUAACUUCUUACCCGAUUGUUGGAUUUAGGCAAAUUUUAUAUCGUUGGAAAGCUAACUGAAGUUCCUACGCAAUGACAGGAUUAAAUAUGAAAAUUACUAAGUAUUUCAAAAAAAGUUAUUUAGGAUAACCCAUGUACUAGAGGUUAAUCUAGGCUAAGAAAAUACGGGGUAUUACAUUGAAAUCCGAAAGGAUCCUCAUCUGAAAGAAGAGAGAAAAGAGAAGAAAAAGGAAAGAAAGAGAACUGAGAAUAAAAGAGAGAGAGAGAUGAGUUGAGUUGAGUUUUUCAUCUCGAUUUUAUGGCUGAAGGAGAGAGUAUUCUGCUCCAUCUGUUUCAUAUUAGUUGAGUUGGCCCCUAUAGACUUGGCACAUCCAUUAAGAAAAAUAUUUAUUAGGGGUUUAUUUUACAAAAUUAGCCUUAUUAAUUAUCCUUUAAAAAUAUAAAUUUGAAUAUAUACACUUGUUUAGCCAUUUAAUGAUAAGGGUAUUAUUGGAAGACCAUAUUAAAAUCCUCUUGAUUUCAUCAUUGGGACAACUAAAUUGAAACAAAUAUUUUUAGAAAGAGGGUCAACUAAAAUAAAAUGAAUGGAGUAGAUAUGGGUUUUAAAUAUUCACUAAUAACUUUUGAGGGGCACGAGGAGACGGUGACAUUAAAAAGACCAGAUAAUACUACUCACUGAGGAGAUUUUUAGUUAUCCAAGUAAUAUUUUUACCACCUUAGUAUUUUAUCUUUUUUAUCUCGGACAGGAAAUACCCAAAUUACUUUAAAAAGGAUCUUAAAACAUCAAAGUCAUACUUUACAACAGAUGACAACUUCUAUUUGAAAAUUUCCAAAGCUCGGUAAUCCAACAGAUGGAUAAUUUGUUGCAACAGAUGACUUAAUCUGUUUGAUUGAUUUCAACAGAUGGGUAAUCUGUUGUAAUAGGUUGAACAAUUGUUUUAUACAAUUUUAAUUCAGUUCAUAUGUUCAACUAAUGCCUUAAUUGAUUAAUCUAGGACUGGGUGUGAGUUCUCAUAGGGUCAACUACAACUUUAAUUGAAUCUUUUGGCAAUCGCAUAAUGAGACGGUAUUGCGCUCUUCCUGACUAGAGUCAUCGAUCGAUCUCUCUGAGGUGAAGUGAUUCUUAUUGCCUUAUAUGUUUAACUAAUACCUUAAUUAAUCAUAGGGUCAACUACAAUAGAUGACAGCACCUAUUUGAUAAUUUACAACAGAUGGGUAAUCUGUUGCAACAGAUGACUUAAUCUAUUUGAUUAAUUUCAACAGAUGGGUAAUCUAUUGCAACAGAUAACUUAAUCUAUUUGAUUAAUUUCACCAGAUGGGUCAUCUAUUGCAACAGGUUAAAUAUUUGUUUUUAUAUAAUUUCAGUUGAGUUCAUAUGUUCAACUAAUGCCUUAAUUGAUUAAUCUAGGACUAGGGGUGAGUUCUCAUAAGGUUAAUUAUAACUUCAAUUGAGCCUUUUGGCAAUCGCAUGAUGAGACGGUAUUGCAUUCCUCCUGACCAAACUCAUCGAUCGAUCACUCUAAGCUGAAUCGAUUCUUAUUACCUUAUAUGUUCAACUAAUACCUCAAUUGAUCAAUCUAAGACUAGGGGUGAGUUCUCAUAAAGCCAACUACAACUUUAAUUGAGUCUUUUGGAAAAUCAUGAUGAGACGAUAAUGCAUUCCUCCUGACCAGAGUCGUCGAUUGAUCACUCUAAGCUGAAUAAAUUCUUAUUAUCUUAUAUGUUUAACUAAUACCUUAAUUGAUAAAUCUAGGACUAGGGGUGAGUUCUCAUAGGAUCAACUAUAACUUCAAUUGAGUCUUUUGGCAAAUGCAUAAUGAGACGGUAUUGCGUUCCUCCCAACUAAAGUCGUCGAUCGAUCACUCUAAGAUGAAUCAAUUCUAAUUACCUUAUAUGUUAAACAAUACCUUAAUUGAUCAAUCUAAGACUGGGGGUGAGUUCUCAUAGGGUCAACUACAACUUCAAUUGAGUCUUUUCGCAAAUACAUGAUGAGACAGUACUACGUUUCUCCUAACUAGAGUCAUCGAUCGAUCACUCUGAGGUGAAGUGAUUCUUAUUACCUAAUAUGUUUAACUAAUACCUUAAUUGAUCAUAGGGUAAACUACAACAGAUGGCAGUGCCUAAUUGAUAAUUUAUAAUAAAUAGGUAAUAUGUUGCAACAGAUGACUUAAUUUAUUUGAUUAAUUCCAACAGAUGGGUAAUCUGCUGCAACAGGUUGAACAUUUGUUUUUAUACAAUUUCAAUUGAGUUCAUAUGUUCCACUGAUGCCUUAAUUGAUUAGUCUACGACUAGAGGUGGGUUCUCAUAGGGUCAACUACAACAUUAAUUAAGUCUUUUGGCAAUCGCAUGAUGAGAGGGUUAAGAAUUAUGCAUAUCUUUUAUAAUUUUAAAAAAUAAUUAAGAUCAAUUUGGACCAAAUUAACAUUUUCAAAACUUGUCAUUCUUUUCCAAAAUAUAAAUCAACCCAUAUAAAUCAUCCAUUUGCGACAAACAUGUUUCAUCAUUUCAAAUCUCAAGUUCUUGCUCUUUUCUCUCUCUCAACAAUACAAUAACUACUCAAUAAAUUGCUCAACCCUUCACAACAGAUCAAUUUUUUUUCAUUUCCAACCACAUAGGUGUUAUUUUUUACUUUAUUAUUGUUUGUAUCAAUCAUUUUCUCUGUCUUCAUAGGUAACAGAGUUCAAGAAAAGUUCUAUAUUUGUUAUUUUUUCUAAACUUGCUUUUAGUUCGUCUUCGCCCAAGUGUGGCUAAUGCUAUAAUAGGAACGGAACUCAUACUUCUAACUCUUCCCCCCGAAACGUCUUCUUUAAGAGCGGAUCCAACCAAUGAUGAAGAGAAAAAUCUAGUUCUCUAAGGGUUUUUAAGUUAAUGAUGAAACAAAAGACUUUUAGUUGUAUUAUCUUGAGAAUGUUUUACAAUUUUGAGUUUUGAUGGUAAAAUUAUAGGAAAAACUUGAGAAAACUCUAGUUUUUAUCGUAGUGUUCCGUUGGGUAUCGUGGUAUUGUUGGAUUUUGUUUGUGGUGUUGGUGGUCAUGGUGGUGGUAUUGGUGAUCAUCGUGGUGGCACUAGUGGUGGAUGUUGGUGGCAUUGGUUGGUGGUGUUUGCGGUGGCUGUUGGUGGUAUUGGUAUUCGUAGUGUUUGUGACAUUGGUUGGUUAUGUUUGUGGUGGUGGCUGUUGGUGUGUCAGUAUUAGUGGUAUUUGUAUUGUAUUUUUUAAAAUUUAUGCAUAUAUCAAUUGUAAUGUAAUUUUUGUUUUUUUAUUAUUUGUGGGUAAAAUAUGUCUGCGAAAAGAAAAGAAAGUGAAAGUGGAUCAACUUCUGACCACCCAACAACAAAAGCUACAGUACAGAGGAAUUCAGAGGAGCUUCCUGAAUAAUCUCAGUUAGGGAAAAGUGAAGCUGAGGAGAGAUAUGAAAACAACAUUGAGUGAGAUAGACAAGGGUAUGUAGAUAGUGAUGAAGAAAAUGAAAGUGAGAAAAAAAAGAAAUUAGAGAGUGAGAAAGAGAAUGAUCAUUAACAUGAUGAUAAUGGAUCACCAAUGGGGCAUGAAUUAAUUUCGACAUCCCAACAUAAUCCUAUCAAAACUAUUAGUAUUGACAGGUUUCAAGUUGCGAUGCCGAUAAAUGACCCUGCAGCAGAAUGACUGGUGAACUUGUACUUAAAUGCCAGUUGGGGAAAUUUUUUAAUUAUUUUAGGAAUAUUAUGAACAAAGAAAACAUAGAUGGACUUUUUAAGAGGAGCUGCUUUGGAUGCUUUCUUUAGCUGCCCAACUUCCCAUUUCCAAAUGAGAAUGAUAUAUGGUCUUCUCAAGUGCAGGAUCAAGUAUGUAGGGGAUGAUAAAUAUUCAGAGGAGGAGGGAAAAAAAGAUGGAUGAAAUCUAGAUCAACUACUAUGGCAUGGCGGUUUGUUUUGGCUUGUGAGAGUAUGCCAUAGUGACAGGCUUGAUGAUGAUAGGCGAAAUUACGCGCCUAUAUCAAUAUAUUUUGCCCAUAUUUUAGCCUAGUUUCGAGAACUAAUUAUCUAUUUCGUACACUUUUAGUCCUUUUUCCUGUAAAUGAGCUAACAAAUGUGAUUAGGAAAGUUUCAGGUAUAAAUGAUGCAAAAUACAGCAAUUUAUGGCUUACUUGACGCAAAAGAAAGCUCACAAACGAGAUGGAAAGGAGCUGGACGCAUAAAGGACUAAAUCUGCUGCAUGGAAAAUCUGUCCCGGGCUAAAACAGCAUUUCUGAAGACUUUGGGACUUACAGACACAAAGCUGGAUUUUUGCCAUAAUACAUUAACCUAGUGCAAUUAGGUUAUGUGUUUCAUCAUUCUAUUUGGAUUAUAAUUUUGUAACCUUACCCUAGUACAAUUGGGUCAAGGAUUUCAUUAGUAUAUUAGGAUUUGGUUAUUUAUUUUAUUAGUUUAGUAGGAGUAGGAUAGGAGUAUUAUAAAUACCCUAUCAUGUUAGAGAUUUUAAAAAGGGGGGGAGACAUUCUGACAAUUCAUUCAUCUCCUUACAAUUAAGACAUCUUCCUACAACCCAUUCUCAAUUCUUCAUUCUUCUACUCUUAAAUUCCACAACAAGAGAAUCGUUACUUGCUACGGAAUCACUAAAACCACACGCCAAACACCUACUAUUCACGCCAUCCACCAUGCAAAACGUGAUAUCCUUCGCAUUCAUGGGUAACUAAAUCUCUUAGUUGGGGUUAUGGAAGCCGAAUGAGUUACUAUCUAUAGCUAUGAGUUUGUGAGUUCAAGACAAGUAUAUUGCUUAUAUCAUUAUUCUCUUCAUCUUAAAUCUACAUUCUUUGCGGUUCAAACACAAGAACACGCCAUUCUAACAUCUAACCUGUUCGAGAGAAAGGUUAUUUGUCUAGAAAAGAAGACGCAUAGACCAACGCCAGUCUAACAUCUGACUUGUUCGAGAGAAAAGUUAUUUGUCUGGAAAAGAGAUAAUGUCAAGGUAGUAGGACACCCUUUCCUAUUAAAAAGCUAGUGCCGUACCUGGACUAACUUCUUGGAGAAUUCGUACCGUUAGUCACGCUUUAAGCUCGAGAGAGUUAAAGUGAAAUAGUCCUUGUUUAGGUCGAGAGACGCUUGGAUUUACCAUCGACUACAAUUCUCUAUAAGCAAUUACAUGUCAAGACUCUACACACUCAUAGCCAAUAGAGACGUAUACCUCAGAAGGUGGACAUAACCCCAACGCCUCAAUUCUCAUUGUUUACAACACACGUGACAAUCUCUCUUUAUUUUGCUAUUUUCAGUUCUUACAUUCUUGUUUUGGUUACAUACUACAAUCCCCCCUUUCCUACGAGACUUGCACUAAAAGUCUAGUAAUUUCUCUUGCUUGUUGGCCAAGCUAUUCUCUGUGGGAUCGAUACCCAACCCAGGUUGGGUUCUAUAUUUGCUAACGACCGCUUUACACUCCCACGAGAGCUGUAGAUUGAGCGUUAUCAAAAAUUGGCGCCGUUGCCGGGGAAUACGAGUGUCAAUCAAGUUCGUGAAAAUUACUAGACCCUUUGGUCAAAGAUUCUCGUACUUUUACGUUUAGUUUUUGUUUUUGUUUAUUGCAGGUUUUUCUUUUAGUGCAUGCCCCAUACUAGAAGUUCUGGUCAACCGUUAUUACCAAUCAAUCCGGAACCACAACGAAUCAGAAGAAUGGAAGCACAAGCGGAAAUCGACAGGAUGGCUGCUCAACAUGAGCAAGCAAGAUUAGCUGCUCUUGCCGCUGCUCAAGUCCAACAACAAAACAUUGAUAAUCCUGGACGAGCAACAAAUCCUGACGAUGAAGAUUUAGGAGAUGACGAGUUGAUCAACCCAAGGCAUGGCGCUGAAAUGGCAACACCUACCAACAGACGAGGUCGACAAGCUCGGUACAGAUAUGAUCGCCAACCUUUGCAACCAGCUUUCGACGAUGAUGAUGAUGAUCUUGAUGGUGCCGGAGCCACUGGAGCUAUAAUUCCACCACCAUUAGCGCCCGGAGCCAAGUUCAACAUCACUAGCACCAUGAUUCAGUUAUUGCAACUCAAGGGAUUAUUUGGUGGACUAGCAGGCGAUGAUCCGAAUAUGCAUCUCAUCAACUUUAUUUCUACAUGCAAGUCUUUUGACAAUCCUGGAGUUGGUCAGAAUGCUAUUCGAUUACGUCUAUUUCCAUUGUCUCUGUCUGGGGAGGCAACAUUAUGGUUGAAUGGGCUGACUCCUGAUUCUAUUACAAAUUGGAGGCAAUUGAGAGACGCUUUCCUAGAAAGAUUCUUUCCGCCAUCCAAGAGGGCUCAAUUGAGAGAUGAAAUCAGCAACUUUCGUCAGCUUCCCUCUGAAGCUCUUCACGAAACAUGGGAGAGGUUCAAGACAAAGCUAGCGAGAUGCCCAAACCAUCACAUGACUAAUGUUCACCUCAUGGAGAUCUUAUAUAGAGCCUUGAAUUCAGUAACUAAACCAGUGGUGGACAACGCAGCUGGAGGUUCUUUUAUGGACCUCACCUUUGGUCAAGCAAGCAACAUGCUAGAUCGUAUGACGAAACAAAGUAGAGCUUGGCAUACCAGGGAUUCUGAGGUAGCAAGCCCCACUUUAUCUAUUGGCAUGUCUGCAGAUCAAAGAAGGAGAGAAGAAGAACGUGAUCAAGAUAUGGCGCACAUGAAAACCCAAAUGGAUCUUCUUACAAAGCAUCUAUUAGGGAAGACUGAAAAAGUGAAAUCUAUUGCGUCAAAAGGAAGAGACGAAUCUGAUUCAGAAGAGGAGGCCAACUACUUGAACAAUCAGGGGGGUUUCCGUGGGAAUGCCCAAGGAAACCAAGGUCGGAACUAUUAUGACAAAUCUGGAGGUAAAGACCAAGGUAGUUGGAAGAAAAAUAAUGAAAACAGUGGUUUGUACGUUCCCCCUGGUAGACGUGAUACCACCACAUCUAAUUCUAUGGAAGACAUGAUGGCUAAGUUAUUGAAAGGAGUGGAAGCGACGAAUGCGGGAGUUAAGGAGGUGAUUGACGAUUUGGCCUCCAUGAAGCAAUUAGUUGAUUCUCAUUCCACUUCUAUCAAGCAACUAGAGCAGCAAUUCAGUCAACUUUCAGCAACACUCAACCAAAGAAAAGCCGGCACCUUGCCUAGCGAUACGGUGCAAAAUCCAAGGACUGAUGGGUCAUGCAUGGCCAUCACUACGAGGAGUGGUAAGGUGCUGGAAACUUCAGCAGAAGGCAAGCAAAUAGUUGACAGAACAGCAGACACAACCGCCACACCUAGUGACGCCACUAGGGAAGACGCCGCAAUAUCCACUUCCAACGUCAAGGACGUGUUGCCUAGUGACGUGCAGCCUGAAAAAAGUAAUAAACGGAAGCAAGAGGAGAAGAAAGCCAUGGAAAGAACACUUCCAUACCCACCACCACCUUUUCCACAAAGACUGAAGAAGGCGGCCGAUGACACUAAGUUCAGCAAGUUCAUGACCAUCUUGAAGCAGCUGACUAUUAAUGUCCCAUUGGUAGAGGCACUUGAACAAAUGCCUGGGUAUGCGAAGUUUAUGAAAGAUCUUUUGACUAAGAAGAGGGCAGCAAGCUAUGAGCUGAAAGAAGAUGUGCAUCAUUGUAGUGCAAUAGCUACCCGAUCCAUAGUUCAGAAGAAGGCCGACCCCGGAGCUUUCACUAUUCCUUGCACCGUCGGAUCUUUGGACUUUGCUAAAGCAUUAUGUGACUUAGGAGCCAGCAUCAACUUGAUGCCAUUAUCAAUCUACAAGAAGUUGGGGUUGGGAGAUCCUACACCAACUAAUAUGAAGCUUGUUAUGGCGGAUAGGUCGGUAAAACGACCGGUUGGUAUUCUAUGCGAUGUCUUGGUGAAGGUAUCUUCAUUCAUAUUUCCAGCAGACUUUGUCAUCUUGGAUUGCGAAGCAGAUUCAGAGGUUCCCAUAAUCUUGGGACGCCCUUUCCUUGCUACGGGAAGUGUGCUCAUAGAUUUGAGAGCUAAUGAACUUUCAUUCCGAAUAAAUGAUGAAGUGGUGCGCUUUGAUGUUUGCAAAUCAAUGAAGCAACCCAAAGAUCUAAGUGUAUUUUCUGUGACUGAUGUUGUCGUUGAUGACGAGGAUGAGUUACUUGCUGAAGAACAAAUUCUUGAUGAUCCUUUGGAGGUUUUGCUCAUGGAAGAAGAUGAUGAUGAUGCUGAAAUUUCUGAAGAUGAUAUUUGUGCUCUAUCGGGAUUAGGAGCAUAUCGCUAUCCUCCUAAGAAGCUGGAUAUUGAUCUCAAGAAUCGACCCACACCACCAGCUAAGCCAUCUAUUGAAGAACCACCCACAUUAGAAUUAAAGGAGCUGCCAAGCCAUUUGAAGUAUGCAUUCUUAGGAAGCGGAAACACUCUUCCAGUCAUAGUGGCAGCCGAUUUAGGUGAGCAACAAGUUGCAGCUCUUAUUGCAAUUUUACGCAAGUAUAUUAGAGCUAUUGGAUGGACCAUUGCGGAUAUCCUUGGUAUUCCACCUGGAAUUUGCACUCAUAAAAUUCAGCUCCAAGAAAAGUGCACACCCACCAUCGAACACCAAAGACGUCUAAACCCACCAAUGCAAGAGGUGGUGAAGAAGGAGAUUAUCAAGUGGUUAGACGCAGGAGUUGUGUAUCCUAUUUCUGAUAGUACAUGGGUAAGCCCAGUACAAUGUGUUCCCAAGAAAGGAGGUAUGACGGUGGUUGCGAAUGCAAAGAAUGAGCUUAUUCCACUCAGGCCCGUCACUGGAUGGAGAGUAUGCAUGGACUACCGCAAGCUGAAUUCUUGGACUCUCAAGGAUCACUUCCCCAUGCCAUUUAUGGACCAAAUGCUAGAUCGAUUAGCGGGAAAAGGAUGGUUUUGCUUUCUUGAUGGUUAUUCAGGUUAUAAUCAGAUUUUUAUUGCACCAGAAGACCAAGAGAAGACAACGUUUACAUGCCCAUAUGGUACGUUUGCCUUCAAACGUAUGCCAUUCGGGUUAUGUAAUGCACCAGCCACCUUUCAGCGAUGUAUGAUGUCUAUUUUCUCUGAUAUGGUAGAAGACACUUUGGAGGUAUUUAUGGACGACUUUUCAGUUGUUGGGGAGUCUUUCGAAGCAUGUUUGGUGAAUUUAAGCAUGGCAUUACAAAGAUGUGUAGAGUUCAACCUUGUGCUGAAUUGGGAGAAGUGCCACUUCAUGGUAAAAGAAGGAAUUGUUCUUGGGCACAAGAUCUCCGAAAAAGGAAUAGAGGUUGAUCGCGCCAAAAUAGAGGUAAUUGAGAAGCUACCACCUCCAAUUUCGGUGAAGGGAGUUCGUAGUUUUCUUGGCCAUGCUGGGUUUUAUCGUAGAUUCAUCAAAGACUUCUCCAAAAUUUCUAGUCCAUUAUGCAAGCUAUUGGAGAAAGAUGCGAAGUUUGACUUUAAUGAUGAUUGCUUAAAGGCAUUUGAAUGCCUUAAAGAAAAACUCGUUGAAGCCCCUAUCAUGGUAACACCAGAUUGGACGCUCCCGUUCGAAGUCAUGUGUGAUGCUAGUGGUGUAGCCGUUGGUGCUGUUCUUGGACAGAGAAAGGAGAAAUUAUUUCAUCCUAUCUACUAUGCGAGUAAGGUCCUCAAUGAAGCCCAAAGGAACUACACCGUCACUGAACAAGAGCUAUUAGCGGUUGUGUAUGCGUUUGAGAAGUUCCGCGCCUACCUAUUAGGUACUAAAGUGAUCGUUCAUACAGACCAUGCAGCUCUUAGGUAUCUAAUGACAAAGAAGGAUGCAAAACCAAGGCUGAUUCGAUGGGUGUUGCUGCUGCAAGAGUUUGAUUUCGAAGUCAAAGAUAGAAGAGGUUGCGAGAACCAAGUGGCUGAUCACCUAUCUAGACUUGAGAAUGAGUAUGUGGCGCAAUCAGAAAAUCAGAUUGGCGAUGCAUUCCCUGACGAGGAGAUAUUAGCGACAACAAUAGAAGACUUACCAUGGUAUGCCGACUUUGCGAAUUUCGUGGUGAGUAAUGUGUUACCUACAAAUUUAUCUUACCACCAGAGGAGGAAGUUUAUGCAUGACGUUCAGCACUAUUAUUGGGAUGAGCCUUAUUUGUUUCGAAGAUGUGCGGAUGGUAUCAUUCGACGAUGUAUAUCCCAUGACGAAGUGCCCACUAUAUUAGAAGCAUGCCACACUUCGCAAGUUGGAGGACAUCAUGCGGGUAAUCGAACAGCAAGAAAAGUCUUGCAAAGUGGUUAUUAUUGGCCUACAAUAUUCAGAGAUGCACACGACUAUGUGAGAAGGUGUGACCAAUGCCAACGUCAAGGUGUUAUUUCAAAACACCAUGAAAUGCCCAUGUCCACAAUCCUGGAGGUAGAACUCUUUGAUGUAUGGGGUAUUGAUUUCAUGGGACCAUUCGUAAAUUCGUUUGGAAUGAAGUACAUCUUGGUUGCUGUGGAUUAUGUGUCGAAAUGGGUUGAAGCUGUAGCAUUGGCCGAUAAUGAAGGAAAGCGUGUUGUAGCGUUUUUAAAGAAGAAUAUCUUCUCUCGCUUUGGGGUACCUCGUACUAUCAUAAGUGAUGGAGGAUCUCACUUCUGCAACAAGCUAUUCAAAUCUGUAUUGGCCAAGUAUGGAGUCAAGCAACACAAGGUAGCUACGCCUUAUCAUCCCCAAACUAGUGGACAAGUAGAGGUUUCCAAUCGGGAGAUCAAGCAAAUCCUUGCCAAGACGGUCAAUGCGAAUCGGAAGGAUUGGUCUCGGAAGCUAGAUGAUGCACUAUGGGCGUAUAGGACUGCAUUCAAGACACCCAUUGGCAUGUCACCUUAUCAGCUAGUUUAUGGGAAGGCUUGUCAUCUACCCAUCGAGCUUGAAUACAAGGCAUUAUGGGCAUUGAAGCACUUGAAUCUGAAUUGGGAUGAUGUGAAGAACCUGAGGUUGGAGCAGCUGAACGAGCUAGAUGAAUUCCGUCUCCAUGCUUAUGAAAGAUCAGAUUUAUACAAGGAGCGGAUGAAGAAGUAUCACGAUCAGCGGAUUGUUCGACGACACUUCCAAAAAGGUGACAUGGUGCUACUCUUUAACUCCAGAUUCAAGCUCUUCCCAGGUAAGUUAAAAUCAAAGUGGUCUGGUCCAUUUAAAGUCACCCACGUCUACUCGUUUGGAGUAGUCGAAUUGGAAAAUAAUGAGGGUGUUAUCUUCAAGGUGAAUGGCCAACGUGUUAAGCCAUAUAUCGGUCCUCUUGACUCGAUAAAUGACAUGGCCAUCACUUAUCUCGACGAAGUCUAAGUACUCGAGAUUACUACGUCGAGCCACGACAAUAAAUAAGGCGCUAGAUGGGAGGCAACCCUUCGUUUUAUUGUUUUAUCGUUUUGUCGUUUUAGUAUUUUUUCUUUUUGAUAAAUGAAAAUCCAAAAAUAAGAGUCGUGCCACGACCAAAACUAAGGCGCUUGGUGGGAGGCAACCCAUCGUACUAAUCGUUUUCAUUUGUUUGAGCAAAUAUAGGUGUAAGAAGUAUGCAACGAGGAGAUUGAUUUCAAUUGACGAUUUGGUCGCGUCGUAUGGUAAAGGCGGUAAGUUAGGAAUGGUGAUGCAUAAGGCUAUGAAUUGAGCCUUUCUCACGUCAUAAUAGGCUUCGAGGAAGGCUAGGCCUUGGUAAAAAUAGGCCACGAACGAUGCACAACCUAUUCUAUAGCCUAAGGACUCGGAAUCUAGUGUGCUAUACCCUAUGCGCCGCCUAUUCCUAGGUGUGCUUUUGACUAUGCGCCGCCUAUGUCCCAUUAUGCCAUGGACAAUGCGCCGCAUAUACAUGUGAUAUGCCGAGGGAUAUGCGCCGCAUAUAGGGUGAUUUUGUCCCCAAAUCCGAUUGUAAAUGGGUCAUAACCCGACCCAUACUCCUCCUAUAUAAAGGGGACUUGUUUUUAUUUCACAAACACAUUAGAAUCAACCCUAAAGGCGCCGCAUAUCAUCCCAAAUCCUCUCAAAUUUUUCUUCCUUUGUUCUUCCAAUCCACAACAACUUCUCCACAAUCUUCAAGCAAGUAAGUGCUCUCUUAUUCUUCAUCUAUUUAUCAUGAGUACUACUUUACUAUGCUUAUUAUUAAAUGCUAAAUCACGUGAGAUUAGUGGUGAUGUUCAUGUGCUUGGAUAAUUGUUGCAAAAAUCGUAUGAUUGAAUGAAUACGAAUGCAAUUCUUGACUUGUUUCCGACUUGAAUUUUGUUUCAAUGGCAUUGUUAUGAUACUUGCUGAACAUAUAUGGCUAUGAAUAUUGCUUGAAAGUGUUGUUUGGAUGCUUGCAUGAUUCACCACCCCGGCCAUCGGGAUACGGUUAUAGUGACUAUCCACGUAGGAGGUAGUGUUGGUUGUUCGAAUAGCAAUUCCAUGUGGUAACUCCUAUGUUAUAGUAUCGCUAUAUGCACCAUGAAAGACGUCCAAAUGGCUGUUCAUAAGUGAUGUCAUGCUGAUUUUCUUGUCGGAAUACAAUCCGAGGACGUAUGUCGACGAAGUCUGAGUACUCGACCACUUUCACUUCACUGAUUUUUGCUAACAAGAUUAAGUGUGGGGUGGUACCCCUAAUGCUUGCAUAUAGAAUUGUCUAAAGUGCGAUUGUGCCGCAUCUAACAUUAUUUCUAGUCUCAGGUACAAUGGCACCGAAAGCAAGGCAAGGCAAGGAGAAGGCUACCACAACCCGCAAGGACAAAAAGAGAAGCCGAAAAGACCAAGGCGAAUCAUCUUCCGCACACCUACCACGCAGAAUGUUCGGAAUCAAAUGGGUUCUUGAGGAAGAAGCCAAGGCAUGGUACAGCAGCAACAAAGAAAAGAAAUAUGUGCACGUCGACUUAAUCAAUAAGGAGACCUUAGCAAAGAAGGAGCCGCAAAUGUUGGCUAAGAUUAUGGCUUUGAAGCUGGAUUUCAUCUUCCGUGACAUGGGAGAGUGCAAUCUUGACUUGACAAGAGAGUUUUAUGCCAACUGGUCGCCAAACACAACAGGCAACGAAGUCAAAAUUCGGGGCCAAGUGUUACAGCUUACAGCGGAUUGGAUCAACUCGUUUCUAGGCCUACCUUCGGUCGACACUGCACCAUACAAAGAGCUGUACAGCAGACCUCCUUACAGAGCUAUAAGACACACGCUUUGUGGAAGCAGAUCGAUGGCGAGAUGGGGCAGACAUAAGGAAACAGGCCGUCACAACACAUUCCCCUAUGCUCCACUAAAUAGGGAAGCAAGAAUCUGGAUGCGCAUUGUCAACUCAUGCCUCAUUCCUGGGACGCAAUACACAAAGAUAUCGAGAGAUAGAGUGUGCCUGGUUUAUUCAUUAAUGACGAAUGUCCCUAUCAACUUUGGGGCAAUCAUUCGAUCCACCAUGAGGAAAGCCAGACUCCACAGCAGGUCCUAUUUCACAUUCGGCAAUUUGUUGACAGCAAUGUUGCGGAAGGAGGAUAUAGAAGAGGAACCAGCUGACCACAAACUCCCACAUACCCCAAAGAAGGUUGACCUCACCAAGGUCAAAGAUGCUGAAACAACGCAUGGAGUCAACCUUACCACUGCGGAGAGACAUGCUCGUGACGAGAGUUUCUUCCGUCAUCUCUAUGGCAUGACGAGAUUCACUAUGAUGAGUGGUGGACGUAUUCCAACUGCUGAAGAGCUCCAACAGCUGGACCACGACUACCCAAUGAACAGACAUGCCCGGGAGAUGUGUGGAGUGGGAGUAUAUUUCGAGGAACCUCUUGAUGAUGACGUGCCAACUGAUGAUGAUAGACGCUUGCCUGAUUCUGAUGCUGAGGAGAACUCUGACGAUGACUCUUACGAUGACUCGAACGAAGGGGGUAUGACAUUGAGGAAGAGUCCGACUAAUCAGGUUCUUCGACUUUAUUUUCCACUGAGGGCAGUGUCUAGUCUAAGUGUGGGGUGUCGGCAGAAUCUGCAUGCUAUAUUUGUAUGUUUGCUUGUUUAUUUUGUUUUAUUUAUUUUGUUUUGAGUCCGAUUUUUUUUGUGAUUUUUUUCGUGUGACGUUUUUUUUUAGUUUUUAGUAGUUAAAAUUUUUCUAGCCUCGCAUGAAAUUAUUUUAAUAGGCAGCAUGAGAUUAUAACAAUAGUAUGUAUUACAAUUGUGACUAUUGAGACAUUUAGGCUCUAGUUGUGACUCAUUAUGUGAUAGUGUGUGAUUCAAUUCCUUCACUUGUUGGGUUGAGAGUCUAUAUUGCUACCAAUCAAGUCGACCAUGUGCCUUGUGUGUGUGAGAUAAUAGUAUAUUCUAUGUAUGUGGCUGAUGCUAGAACUUGCCUGGUAUGUAUGCAAAGCGAAAAUAAGGAGUGUAAGUUUAGGAUAUGAUUUAGGCAUUUCUUUGGCAACCUAUAUUUGUUUACCUUCAGUUUUACCUACCCAUGGACAUCAUCCUAGUUAAACCCUUUUGAGCCUUUAGCCUAUUUCUUUGACAACCUUGUAUGUAAGCCUAAUUCAUUUUUUUUCAAGACCGUAAUUUGAUCCAAAUUCCUAAGUGCUUUAAAGUAAAAAAGUCAUGUGACAACAUAAGAGGAAAUUGGUUGAGUAUGAUGCUUUAAAUUGUAAUGGUGCUUGAAUAUGUUAUGAAAAAGAAAGUGCUAUCAUAAGAGGUAUGUUGUGAGAAGAAAAAGGAAAAGAAAGCUGAAAAGUGAGUUGUGCUUUAAAAUUGAAAAACAAAAGAGGAGAACAAGGGUGCUACAAAAAAAGUGUCAAUAAUACAAUGUGAUGUAUUAAAGUGCUUAGGAACUUAGUCACUAUUUCUGGCCAAAAUAGUUGAUCCUACCCGUCCCUUAGCCUACAUUACAACCAUCAAAAGACCUACUUGAUCCUAACCUUAACAUUCCGACAUUUAGUGGAGUACUACAUUAAGGGCAAGCCUAUGGUCAUUAGCUGCUACAUAUGAAUUCUUUGUGAGAGUGAGCGCAAGGAUACUUUGCUGCCCAUGUUUGAAAAAUAUGCUAUACUUGUGAGUGAUUAUGGGUACUAUAUUGUGAGACACACAUGGUUGAUGAGUUUUGGAUAGUUGUAUAUGAUUCUAUGUACCUUAAACGUUUGCAUGCGAGUUGAUCACCAUCACGAGUCUAUGCUUGAGGUUAAAUUGUUUCUACUUAUAAUCGGAAAGCUACUCUUCGUUGAUAAUUGUUGUGCUUGUCUUGAAGAAUGUUUUGUGUUGUUUCUGUAAAAACCUUAAGUCAAUGCUUAGAAGGACAUGAUAUGUUGUUCGAGGACGAACAAAGCUCUAAGUGUGGGGUGUUGAUGAUAGGCGAAAUUACGCGCCUAUAUCAAUAUAUUUUGCCCAUAUUUUAGCCUAGUUUCGAGAACUAAUUAUCUAUUUCGUACACUUUUAGUCCUUUUUCCUGUAAAUGAGCUAACAAAUGUGAUUAGGAAAGUUUCAGGUAUAAAUGAUGCAAAAUACAGCAAUUUAUGGCUUACUUGACGCAAAAGAAAGCUCACAAACGAGAUGGAAAGGAGCUGGACGCAUAAAGGACUAAAUCUGCUGCAUGGAAAAUCUGUCCCGGGCUAAAACAGCAUUUCUGAAGACUUUGGGACUUACAGACACAAAGCUGGAUUUUUGCCAUAAUACAUUAACCUAGUGCAAUUAGGUUAUGUGUUUCAUCAUUCUAUUUGGAUUAUAAUUUUGUAACCUUACCCUAGUACAAUUGGGUCAAGGAUUUCAUUAGUAUAUUAGGAUUUGGUUAUUUAUUUUAUUAGUUUAGUAGGAGUAGGAUAGGAGUAUUAUAAAUACCCUAUCAUGUUAGAGAUUUUCAAGAAGGGAGACAUUCUGACAAUUCAUUCAUCUCCUUACAAUUAAGACAUCUUCCUACAACCCAUUCUCAAUUCUUCAUUCUUCUACUCUUAAAUUCCACAACAAGAGAAUCGUUACUUGCUACGGAAUCACUAAAACCACACGCCAAACACCUACUAUUCACGCCAUCCACCAUGCAAAACGUGAUAUCCUUCGCAUUCAUGGGUAACUAAAUCUCUUAGUUGGGGUUAUGGAAGCCGAAUGAGUUACUAUCUAUAGCUAUGAGUUUGUGAGUUCAAGACAAGUAUAUUGCUUAUAUCAUUAUUCUCUUCAUCUUAAAUCUACAUUCUUUGCGGUUCAAACACAAGAACACGCCAUUCUAACAUCUAACCUGUUCGAGAGAAAGGUUAUUUGUCUAGAAAAGAAGACGCAUAGACCAACGCCAGUCUAACAUCUGACUUGUUCGAGAGAAAAGUUAUUUGUCUGGAAAAGAGAUAAUGUCAAGGUAGUAGGACACCCUUUCCUAUUAAAAAGCUAGUGCCGUACCUGGACUAACUUCUUGGAGAAUUCGUACCGUUAGUCACGCUUUAAGCUCGAGAGAGUUAAAGUGAAAUAGUCCUUGUUUAGGUCGAGAGACGCUUGGAUUUACCAUCGACUACAAUUCUCUAUAAGCAAUUACAUGUCAAGACUCUACACACUCAUAGCCAAUAAAGACGUAUACCUCAGAAGGUGGACAUAACCCCAACGCCUCAAUUCUCAUUGUUUACAACACACGUGACAAUCUCUCUUUAUUUUGCUAUUUUCAGUUCUUACAUUCUUGUUUUGGUUACAUACUACAAUCCCCCCUUUCCUACGAGACUUGCACUAAAAGUCUAGUAAUUUCUCUUGCUUGUUGGCCAAGCUAUUCUCUGUGGGAUCGAUACCCAACCCAGGUUGGGUUCUAUAUUUGCUAACGACCGCUUUACACUCCCACGAGAGCUGUAGAUUGAGCGUUAUCACUUGAGAUGCGAUUUCCCAGAAGAACCUAUCACCAAGGAAAUCAAGACAGACAAACGACCCAGCAAAACCAAUAAACGCAAGGAAAAAAUAGAUGGGUUGUUGGACAUUACGAACGUGGCUACAAAGCAUCGGAUUUGAUGACAGAUCUCAAGGAUAAAACCAUACAAAAGCAGUACAGGGAGCAAUUGUGCUUAGUUUGGGUUGCCCAUUCGGUUAUAUAGGCAAGAGACGUCAACAAGGUCAUAGAAGAUGAUUUAUUAGCACGUGCUGAGGAUUUUAAUAAAUUCAACAAUUAUCUCUGGGGAUAUGACAACUUCUACUUGAUUGUCCAAUAUUUACUGACAAAGCUAUCCAUAGGGACGACCACAUUAUACGGCUUUCUUUAGGUUUUCAUUGUAAAAUUAAUCACUAUUUUUACUCAUCCAUUAAUUUAUAUUGAAUAUAGUUAUUAUGACUUUUUUUGCUUGCUUCCUCUUUACAUUUUUUAGGCUUAGGCAUUUGAAGCCAUUCCUCCCCUCUGAAAGUAGGUAAUGGAUUACUUGGAUGAGGUUUCUCAUCAAAUAAUGUUUAGUGGUUGGCUGCAAAGAACAAAACAAGAAUUAAGGAGGCUGAUCUCUUUAAUCCUCUAGAUGAUGAAAUACGUCUUCUUUAAGUAAAAUAAUUUAACUCAAUGAAAGAUAUUGAACAGAUAUUAUAUCUGGUGCAACAGAUAUUAUAUCUGAUGCACCAAAUGGGAUAUCUGUUGCGAUAGAUUACCCGUCAUGUGCCAACUGGUGCAACGGAUGGGUAAUCUGUUGUGAUAGACGAUUGAUAUUUUGUAUUAGAUUACCCUCUAUUGCUUUGGUUCUCUGAACCCGACUCUUAACAAAUUAACCAUCUACUGUAAAUUAUUUAACAGAUGGGUAAUCUAAUAUAACAUAAUGUUAAUCUGUUACGACAUACAGAUCAUCUAUUACAUAACAUGUAACCCAAGAGACUACCCAUCUUAUGCCAACUGGUGCAACAGAUUGGUAAUCUGUGGCGACAGAUGAUUGAUACUUUGUAUCAUAUUAUCCAUCUGUUGCUCUGGUUCUCUAAACCUGACUCAAACAACUUCUAACCAUUUAUUGUAAACUAUGCAAUAGAUGUGUAAUCUGAUGUAAUAUAUUGUUAAUCUGUUGUGGCAUACAGAUAUCUGUUCUAUAAGUUGUCUAUGUUAACAUGUAACCCAACUGUGAAAAUUAUUACUCUCUCCGUCCCAUUUUAUGUGUCGCCAUUUUACCGGGCACAGAGUUUAAGAAAUAAGUGAAGACUCGAUAGUAUUUACCAAAUUGUCCUUUAUCAAAAAAUGUGCUACUAUCUUUUUUUUAAUUAAGUGGGCCCAAUAAGGAUAAAAGUGUAAUUGUAUUUUUAUAUAUUUACCAAAUAAGGAAACAUGACAUUCUUUUUGGGACGGACUAAAAAGGAAAUGAUGACACAUAAAAUGGGACGGGGGGAGUAUAUUAUAUGAUUUAAAUGUAUCUGUCUUUUUUAUUAGUUGUGCACCCGUGGAACAUGCCUACUGAGCAGAAGUUGGGGAUGACCUUUUUUAUUACUCUAGGUCAUGUUGAUACUAUAGCAAACCCAAUGGUGGAGCUAAUAGAGAAAGAAUUGGUUGGAGCAAUAGCCAUAACAAGAGCAGUUAGGCAAGCUCAGCCUAAUGUUCAGGCUCUUCAUGACCAACCUACUAAGGCAGAUCUGGGUACUUCUUCAGUGGAGUUGUUGGUGCCUUCUUCAGUGAAGUUAUUGGUGUUGGUGGCAGGCAUGCUAAUGCUGCUACCACUCAUGAUGAUGAUCAUGUUGAUGCUCAAGAAAAAACAAAUAUAUUUGAAAACACCUCUUUCAUAGGUCCCCCUAACCCUUACACGGGUCCAUCUCAUCCUUACACCGGUCACUCCCACCCCUCUUCACCUUCGUGUUCUCAUUGCAAAUGCGAAGAGUGCAAGGACAGCUAGGAUAAACUCUUUGAAAGGUAGAGGCUAUCAUUAAAGCUGUCGAGGAAUUCAAAUCUAAGAGAGGUGUCAUACCAUCCAAGAAGGUGAGGGAUCCAUACACUCCUACAGCGGCAGUUAGAAGGAAGAAAAGAGCAAUUAGCGACAUACUCUCCAGUCUGAAAUCAAAAAAUAUUAAAGUUCAGGGUCCAUUAAAGAAGGUCGACAUAUACGCAGAACUUGGCGCCAAAGAGAAGAGGGAUCUGCGAUGGGCCACGAAUGCCAAGCUAGGCCCACCAGAUUACCCCAGGCCUCCCUUUUUUCCUAAGACUUCCAUAUUGUGAUAGAUAUGCGUAUGCGGUAUGAGGACAAGGUAAGUUUACUUUUCCUAACCUACCCUUCUAAUCUACUCAAUGAAGAAGAAGCUACGUAAUAGAUGUGAAAUUUGUUACAAUAGUUGGGUAUUCUAGUGCAAAUGGUAGUGGUUUUAUUACAACUUAUUAACCAUCUGUUGCAUAAGUUGCAUUGGAUUAUUGAUUCAGAGAACCUUACGUAAUAGAUGGACCUUCCGUUGCAUUUUUACAAUUACUAGCCUAUUUAAAAAUUGACUUCUUAUAUCAUAGUAUGUUGACAAAAUUCUCUGCCUAAUAAGGAAAAGGCAGUUAGUAUACCCGAAAGUUUAUGACAUUACCGAUAGGAUAAUGGACCUCGACUUCUACAAGAAGCUCAAGGAUAAGUACAAUCAACUCAAUAAUCUAGCAUCAUCCUGUGGUGCGCGAUUUGAUUCAUUAGUUUCUACGUUAGAUUGGGAUGAAGAAAAACUGAUAAAAUAUGUUAGAGGGAAGAGGCCAAAUCCAGACGGCAAAAGCUGAACCGAGGCAAAGAGGAUUCUUCAGUCAUGAGCAUGGAUAGAAUGCAUUAUUAGGCUUUUAAGAUACUACUUGAGGGUGGAAAGAUCAAGGUUUAUGACUGCAACAAAUAUGCCAUUGAUGAGGUCAUGUUUUUUAUCUACGUGCAACCACUGAUGGACCUAUUCCCCAUAUCGUUGAGGCAGAGUAAACUGAUGUAUUAUUUGCUAGAGGAAGUGUUGAUGAAGAAAUCAUGGGAUUUUAAAGGUCGAAACAAGGGCAUGAACCUUGCAAAAAAUGAUACCAAUUUUGUGUGUGGCUCGCACGCGCUUGCAUACAUUGAAUGUUUACUGACCGGCACAAAAAUGGUUGAGCCAACGACCUUUCUAUGUGACAACACUGUGGAAAACCUGCAAAAGGUCUGGAAUUAUGAGGUACUAAUUGGACGCUUGGAUCCUGGAUAUAAAUAAGAGCCUGUGAAAUAACAAUUUUUUUAUUUCAAGUCACACUUCACUUUACAUUACAUGUACACGUAGUGGCAAUAUUUUUUUUUAUGAAAGUUAAGUUUUUAAUAAUGCAAUAGAUUGUCAAUCUGUUGUAAAAUAUAUUAUAUCGGUUCUAGCAGAUUGUUUAUCUGUUCCAUUAUGCCGAUGUUAUUUCUAUCUAAUCUAUGUCUAAUUUGUUGCAACAGUUGGAAGACUUGUUUGAUAAUUUCCAACAGAUGUCCUAAAUUUUGCAAUAUAUGCCUAAAUCUGUUUGAUAUUUUCCAACAAUUACGCUUGAAUAUCCAUGUGCUCGAUAACACCAAACCAGUAGCAAAUACACCACCAUAAAAAUUUCAGCAAUUAGGCUUGAAUAUCCAUGUGCCCAACACUACCAAACCAGUAGCAAUAACGGCAAUAAUAUAGCUUCGUCUUACUCGAUUUUGUUUCUCGUCAGAAGCUUUGACUUUCUUCAACAAACCCCAGAUUACACGAUUUUCUUAUGAAGGGUGUCGUUCUUCACACCAAUCAAAGUAAUCUUAUCCACCCAAUUUCUAUAAAAAUAAGAACACAAUUAUAAAAUAAUUACUAGUCAAUAAUUAAUCAACUAAUUAAAUAAAAAAUAUUACCUUUGAAAUCUUACAAGUAAAAAAUCUACGACCUGGAAUUUGUUGAGUCCAAGAAGUCUUCAAUAGAGCUUCAUGAUCGCACUUACAAUAUCAAAUAUCUUUGUCACAAAAAACAAUGAAAGACAAGCUCGACAUUGUCAAGCUCAGUUGGAAAAAAUGAAAAAAAUACAAAUAAUCGAGAUAAAUUUGAAUAGAGAAAAAAAAUGAAGAAGAAAAAAAAGAUUUGGAAAUUUAGGAAGAAUAUGAAUAUAUAAGACAAUGGGAUAAAAAUAACCAUUGGGGGACAAAUCAACAAAAAUGGGGGUUCAACGAGCCUUGGAUGCGUGAAUUACACGUGAGCAGCCAACAGGGUGAAAAGUGACAAACUAACACAUUUGAUGCCUAUUUAAUCUUGCGUGUUUAAAAUGAAUAUUGUCUACUUGAUGCCUAUUUUAUCUUAGGUGUUUAAACUGAACACUGUCGAUGGGUUUCGCCUUUUUUAUUUCAAGACACUUUCACUUUUUUAUAUGUAGUGUCAAUUUUUUAUGUCUAACAAAAAUUAAACUUUUAUAAUGUAACAGAUUGUCCAUCUUUUGUAACAGAUAUUCUACCUAUUCUGACAUAUAUUUUAUCUGUUGUAAUAGGUUGGUCAUCUGUUGCAUUAUAUUGAUGUUUCUAUCUAAGUCUAUCUAUUGUAAUAGUAGGAAGACCUAUUUAAUAAUUUCCAAUAGAUUACCUACCUGUUGCAACAUAUGUCCAAAUCUGUUUGAUAUUUUUCAACAGAUGUAUCGUCUAUUGCAAUAGAUACAUUAUUUGUUGCAAUAUUUAUAUCUAGUAUUCCAUUUCAAUUAAUAAGUUCAAAUCUAAGGAAAAAAAAUAAAUUCAUAGACAAAAUAAAUAAAUCGAAGCCUUCAGAAAUUAGCUGAAAUAAAUCAAUGAAUAAAUAAAAGAUAAAAAAAUUGUUAUGGGUACAAAUCUCAACAAAUACAUCAACAAUUUAAGUAUUGAUGCCAAGAAUUCCUAAGGAGGGGUGAGGUUAUUACUUUGACAGACUCAAGCUAUAAAGAUCUACUCAAUAUAGACAAGUUGUUCCAGAAUUCGGCUUUAGUCAUCGUGGAUCUUUAUUAUAGCUUACGUACGGUUUCUGCGCUUUCUGUUCUCUGUAUUUCUAUAAAAAGAGUAGCACAUUGUCAAUGUUAUUUAACAGUAGAUUCUAUAUCCACCUAGAAAUCCAGAAUUGGUCAAUGCUAACCACCGAAAUACAAUAAAACAGAAAAGAAUAACUCAUCUAUUCUAGCAAAUCAAACAGGCCUUCCUCCAAUUUUAAAUUAUCCCAAAUAGAUUAUAUUUCUGUUGCAACAGAUGAAUCAAAUGUUGGGAUAAAUUUCUAUAUGAGAAAGACCUGUAUGAUAAUUUUCAAUGGAUGAACCAUCUGUUACAAUAUAUGACUCAUCUGCUGUAUUAGAUAGGUCAUCUAUUGGUACAAAUAAAAGCAGUACGAAGAGCUAUUUGAUUUGCUAAAAUAUACGAGACAUAUGUUACAAUAGAUACUUUAUCUGAUGCAACAAGUUAGUCAACUGUUGCAACAGAUGUACAUAUCUGUUUGAUAAUUUUCAGUAGAUUUUUCAUUUGUUGAAAUAGAUGUGUCUGUUUGUUAGUUGGAAUAGGCAUAUAUAUUCACCUUCUUCAGCUCGUGCUGCUCUCCUUUGGCAAUAGUACAUUGCUCAAUGCAAAACACGAGUAGAGGAGUUACAAUUUUUCUUUUUUAGAUGCUUGAUAAUGCCUUGGAAAUUACUUCUCUUCUCCUCUUAGCCUUAAUCUCUAAUGGAGUGGAUGGAUAUAAAAUCCUCUUUGACAGAAUGACCCCCUCUUAGAUGUCAAUUCUUUUACAGAAGCAAUUAAUACAUUAAUGGCAUUAAUCACUACAUCAUGCUUCUCCUUGCAGUCUUGAUAUUUGCAUCCAGAACAUUCAUUGGGAGAGGCAAAAUUUGUAUAACCAGUAUGAUCAUACUCAUAAUGGUUUGUUUUAAAUACUGUAAGAGGAGUAUCAUAAGCACCAACAGUAGCACAACUAUCACCAUCAACAGCUCCAUCACCACUAAGACCAUCAACAACAAUAAGCCCACCCUCCAAAAUUAUUUUUAUUCUAAUGGUUGUUGCUCCAAAUAAUUCCAUUUUUAUUUUGUCAAUGACCUUAGGGUCCGAUAAAGUUUGCACAGACCGUAAAGUAAAAAGAAUGGCAUCUUCAACUGUCGAUUGGUAGGAACUAGCGACGGAUGCAGAAUCUAACAUAAAUUAUUACAUAUAUUAAAAUGAUAAUUAGAACAUUCAAAAAAACAUUAAUUAAAAUAAAAACUUAAUUAUAAUUAUACUUACUGUAUCCUUCGGAGGGGUGAAGUGAUCAAGAAUUUUGCAUUUUUAUCAGUUUUGGCCGACAACCAUCUCAAGAAUCUUGGACAGGAAACUUCUUCUUGGUAGUUCACUUGUUGUCUUAAAUAAGGAAUGGCUUCAAACACCCAAGACUAUAAAAUAACAUCAUUUAAUCAAAACCAUUAUUGAGUAAAAAAAUAAAUGAUAUCAUAAUAAAAGAAAGAAACAUUUACCAUGAAAUCCCAUGGAAAGCUAUAUAAGUUGACUGUCUUUGGCGCUAACGGAGUCAACAAAUAUUUGACAGUCAUUUUGAAGCUUUCAUAACCCAAGGAUAGCUGUUAAACGCCUCAAGAUCCUUGAAGAGAUUUAUUAAGCUAACGCUUAUAUUGUUGUUAACGUCUCUCGCCCAAAGAAUAUUAUGUACCAACCAAACCAAGCACAAUGACUUCUUGUGCUUCUUUGAAAUUCUUUUACCUUUCAACGUUUCUAUCAAAUUUUUAUUUUUGAAACUUGAUCCAACAAUGGACACCAGGUCAUCACGAUCACACGACUUGCCUUUGCCAUUUUUUGGUGUGUGGGGUGCUUUUUGGGGUUAAAAUUGGUAUAACAUGAGAAGGAAAAAGAGAAAAACAUUUUAGUCUAGGAACUAUGGCAAACUCCUUUCAACCAAAACAAACAGGCAUGCCACAGUAAUUUAUACACACCUCAUCCAUAUUAUCUUUGUUUUCAUACAUAAAUCUACGCUUGAGAAGUUCAUAUGCCAUUUUUAUUUGAAAACGAGCAUUGUUGUCCUCCGCCAAAUCAAGAUAUUUCCCAAAGCAGCUGUCUCUUAAAUAAGCAUCCAAUUUUUAUUCUUGAAGUAUUUUUUUGAAGGUGUUGAAAGAUUUUCCCAUGGCUGACUUAACCACGAAAUCACCCAUUAAAUCUAUGGCACCAUCGCACUGCAUUCUCACAAGAUAAUGAUCAAUGCUAAAAUUUUUGACCAACUCUUCGGUGGAAGGGCUAUUAGAAUUUGGAUCAUCUCUUUUGAAACAUUUUUUCUCCCCGUGUUCAUUAUAUUCUGCUUCCAAUUAAGAUAACGCUUGUAAAGCAAGCUCAUAGAGUGGUGGAUGUAGCCUAGCUGCUUCACUUGUUCCUUUACUUGGACUUGAUUCGGUUUCUAUUCUUUUGGGAGCCAUAUUAUCUAAAAUUAACAGGAACAUAAAAAUAUAUUAUAGUUGAUUAAUGCAUCAUUAAAAAGGGAUAACAAUAUAUCUAACGUACAAAAUAGUAAAUCACACAUUUGUUACACUAGGUAGGUUAUCUAUUGUACCAAAUAACUAACCUAUUGCAAUGGAUGAGUAAUCUGUUACAAUAAUACAAAAUAUAUCACUCAUUUUUUAAGAUAGAUAAAUGGUCUAUACAAUAGAUCACACAUCUGUUACAAUAUAUGAGUGAUCUAUUGGAACAGUUAAAUAACCUGUUGCAACUGAUGAGUAAUCUGUUGCGAUAAUAUAAAAUAUAUCACUCAUCUAUUGAGAAAGAUGAAUGAUCUGUGCAAUAGAUAAUAUAACUAUUGCAAUAUAUGAGUGAUCUGUUGGAACAGUUAACUAACCUGUAGCAACAACUGAGUAAUUUAUUGCCACAAUACAAAAUAUAUCAGUCAUCUAUUGAGAAAGAUGAAUGGUUUGUGCAAUAUUUCACACAUCUAUUGCAACAUAUGAAUGAUCUAUUGAAAUAGUUAUUAAUGAUCAAUAUUUUUUAGAUUUCUUCCAACAGAAGGGCCGUCUAUCGCGACAAAUAAAUGAUUAGUAAGAAAAAUCAAGUCUUGGACAUAUCCUGUUGGAAGAGUUGAUAGGAUUUUAUCUAAUAGGAGGUUCAUCUGUUGCAUCAGAUCUUUAAUCAGAUGGUUCAUCCAUUGCAUCAGAUGAUUAAUCUACUGCAUCAGAUUUUUAAUCUAAUGGUUCCUCUGUUGCAUCCGAUAGUAAAUUUGUUGCAUCAGAUGGUUAAUCAAUUGCAACAUAUGCUUAAUUUAUUGCAUCAGAUAGUGAAACUAUUGCAUUAGAUGGUUAAACUGUUGCACCCUAUGCUAAAUCUGUCAUAUCAUAUUUUUAUCUGAUGGUUCCUCUGUAGCAUCAGAUAAUUAAUCUGUUGCAUUAGAUGGUUAACCUGUUGCAUUAAAUAUUUAACUGUUGCAUCAAAAUUUUAAUUUGAUGGUUCCUCUAUUGCAUCAUAUGGUUGAUAUUUUGUAUUAUAUGUUAAAUUUAUUGCAUCAAAUGGUUAAUAUGUUACACCAGAAAGAUAAUCUGUUGGACAAAAAAAUAGUAGCACGAUUUUGUUCAAUAGAACAAUAGAAAUAUCACCAUUUUUCCCAAGAAUAAGAACAAAUCAACCUAUCAAUGGCACAACAAAUUAAACUUCAAACUCGAACAACAUAAGAGAAGAGAAGAAAAAAGAAGAGAAGAGAAGAAAUACCAGAAAUUAAAAUUUUAUUCAAACCGCAUUUCAAAUUAAAGCAACAAAUAUUAAAAUUGUUAACCAAUACUAUAAGAGAAGUUGGGUCAAGUUCCUCAUUUUCUUCAAAGCUAAAAAGGCCAUAAUUUUUUACCUAUGAAAGAAAAAAAAGAACGAUGAAUAAUUCGAAUUUGUUGUGGCCGGAGAGCAAGGCUAUCAUGUUGAUUGAUGGUUGAAGUCGAAAAAGAACUUGAAUCCCAACUAUUUUUCGUUGGAGGUUGAAGUCGACGGAGAUUUAAAGAAAAAUUUUACAGAACUGUUGGUUGAGAGAAGUUGUCGAGAGAGGGGAGAGAGACAAUUGAUGAUUUGGAUUGAAGAGGGGUGUGGGUUGGGUUGAUUUAUAUUUUUGAAAAGAUUAGAAAGUUUUAAAAAUAUUAAUCAAUUCCACAAUUAAGUUAAUCAACUUUCCUAAUUAUGUUUGACCCUUUAAGUUGGUCAAUGUCACCAAUUCUUCAUUCAAGACUUAAAAGAUACCUUUCCUUUAAUUUUCUCAUCUAAGCAUUAUACCACUUAAAUUGAAAUAGAAGAAAAUGUUUUAUAAAUCACAAUAAUUAAAAACUUAAAUUAUUUUAAAAAAAUAUAAUUGACUGUUAAUGUCACAGAAGUUUAGACAAGGAGAGUAACAUAUAUUAUUUGAAAAUAACAAAUUCUAUUUGUAUCGCAUAAAUUGAAAUUAAAAAAGAGGAAAGUGCAGAAAUGGCACUUUAGAUCAAAUAAAUUCCACGAAAAUGGCCAUGAAAUUUAAAUUUUACUUUCUAGCCAUUUCAAUUUUCUGGCUUGUUCUGUACAGUGUCUACACACCUUCUAUAUAGUUUCUAUACAUAUCUUAUACAUAUAAAUAUUCUAUACUAAAAUUAUAUAGUUUCGAUACACAAUUUAUAUAAUAACUGUACAUUUUUUUACACAUUUUAUACAAUAAUUAUGCAAUGUUUAUACACUUUCUAUAUAUUUUUUAUAUAUUUUUUAUAUGUAUACAUAUUCGAUAGAACUAUACAAUUUUUAUACAUAUAUCUUAUAGACAUAUAUAUUCUAUAUAACAAUUAUACCGUUUUUAUAUAAUUAUAUUUAAUUAUUAUUUUUAAACAACUAAAAAGCAGAAUAUUUUUUAGUUAAAAAAUUGUAGCAAAAAAAAACUGAAAAUAUUUUUAGAAAAGGACCAAAUGACCCAAGUUGAAAACUCUAUCAGUAUUAUUGUAUAUGGACUGUAUCAAUAUGGUAUAUAAACUGUAUUGAACUACAUGGGCCAAAAUGACCCAAAUUGAGAAAGAAUAGGAAAUGACUAUUAUGUGGCAUUAGUAUAUCCGACAGGACAUUUUAUGUCCAUAGGCCUAAACUUGGCUAUUUUUUGUAAAAAAGGUCUAUACCAUGUCUUUUUUCCAAUAAAAAAUAACAUAUACUGAGUCUGUGUUAUCUAAAAAAUAGUAACAUAGGUUCAUCACACUCUUAUUAAUUAUAAAUUUGUAGAGUUUAAUUUUGAUCGUAACUUAAAAUUUUGAAAAAAAAUUAUAUAAUUGAAUAAUAAAUCACAAUAAUUGAUAAUUUAAAAUAUUUUAAGAAUAUAUCCAAAAAUUAUCUUGAAAAAUAAAUUUAUUUAAAUUUCAAAAUUUAAAAGAUGUUACAUUAAUUAAUAUAAUUAUUAUCAUAAUAUUAAUUUAGGAUGGAUUUUAGGCCCGCGAGAACUUCUUCUAACUAGUAAUAGAAUACGAUAAAGAUAAGAAUCAUGAGAAAAUUGAAGGAAAGGUGUCAUUUAAGUCUUGAAUGUAAGAUUGAUGACAUUGACCAACUUCAAAGGUCAAACAUAAUUCGAAAACUUGAUUAAAUUAAUUGUGGACCUUAUUAAUACUAUCAAAACUUUCUAAUCUUAUCAAAAAUACAAAUCAACCCACACCCUUCUCCUUUCAAAAUCAAUCGUCUCUCUCCUCUCUUCCCUCUCUCAAUCUCGAUUGUUUCUCUCAAACUUUUCCCAACCAACAGUUCUAUAAAUUUUUCCCAUCAAUCCCCGACGACUUCAACCUCUCGGUGAUAAAUAGUUGAGCUUUGAGUUCCUUUUCGACUUUUAACUGUCAAUCGACGUGACAACAUUGCUCUCCAACAAUAAUAACUUCAAGUUCUUCAUCGUCCCUUUUCUUCUUUCACAGAUAAAAAAUUAGGGCUUUUUAGUUAUUAAGAAACAGGGGAACUUGAGCCAACUUCUCUUCAAGUAUGGGUAAACAAUUUCAAUAGUUAUUGCUUAAAUUUAAAAUGAGGACGGAAGAAAAACCUAAUUUCUGAUAUUUCUUCUCUUCUCUUCUCUUCUCUUCUCAUAGUAAAAUAUAAUUUUUUGUUGUUGUUAUGGUUCUUGUUAUCGAACUAUUGAUUCGGUCUGUUGGUGUCUGUUGAGUUUUUGAAGUUUGAUUUUUAUCGUUUGUGUUUGUACAAACAAAACAACAAUUUUGGUGAUUUUGGUCACAGUUGAUGUUCUUGGUGUUUGUGUUGUGUUGGUGUUGCUGGGUUGAUUUGUUGUUGUUCUUGGUAAAAAUAAUGUAUUUGGUAUUAAAUGGUGAUAACGUUUUUGUUCUAUUGAACAAAAUCUUGCCACUAAUUUUUUUUAUAACAGAUGCACCAUUUGAUGCAACAGCUGAACCAUAUGAUGCAAUAAAUGAAUUAUCUGUUGGAUGAAAUCCUAUUAACUAUUCCAAUAGGAUGACAUGUCUAAGACUUUGAUUUAUCCCAAUAGAUAAUUCAUUUGUUGUAACAAAUGAUGCUUCUGUUGAAAGAAAUCUAAACAACAUUUCAGCAAAUGAGUGAUCUGUUGAAAGAAAUCACAACAGUAUAUAAACUAUUUAUUAUUUACAACAUAUUACCCAUCUGUUGCAACAGGUUAGUUAUAUAUUGCAACAAAUAACACAUAUAUUGCAACAUAUGUGUGAUCUGUUGAAACUGUUAUUUUACUGUGUUGUACAUAUUAGAUUUAUUGUUAUAUUUUUUUAACGAUGCUUUGAUCAAUUAUAAUAUUUUUUAUUUUCUUGCUAUUGUUAGAUAAUAUGGCUCCCAAAAGAAAAGAAACUGAAUCAAGUCCAAGUAAAGGGACAAGUGAAGCAGCUAGGCUACAUCCACCACUCUAUGAGCUUGAUCAGAAGCAAAAGAUAAUGAACACGGGGAUGAGGAAUGUUUCAAAGGAGAUGACCCAAAUGCUAAUAACCCUUCCACUAAAGAGUUGGUCAAAACCUUCAUCAUUAAUAGUUAUCCUGUGAGAAUAUAUUGUGAUGAUGCCACAGAUUUAACUGGUGAUUUUGUGGUUAAGUCAGCCAUAGAAAAUCUUUUGAAACCUUUAGAAAAAUGCUUCGAGACCAAAAAUUGGAUGCUUAUUUCAAGUAUAGCUGUUUUGGACAAUAUCUUGAUUUGCCAGAGGACAAUAAUGAUUUUCAAAUGAAAUGAUAUAUAAUCUUCUCAAGCGUAGGUUUAUAUAUGAAAAUAAAGAUAAGAUGGAGGAGGUGUGGAUAAAUUAUUGUGGCAUGCCUGUUUAUUUUGGUUGGAAGGAGUUUGCCAUAGUUGCCUGACUAAAAUAUUAUCCUUCUUCUCCUUCUCAAGUAAUACCUAUUCUAACCCAAAAAAAAGCACCUCGCACACCCAAAAAAGGAAAAGGCAAGUCAAGUGAUAGUGAUGACUUGGUGUCCCUUGUUGGUCCAAGCUUCAAAAACAAAAAUUUGAUUAAAGCGUUGAAAGGUAAAACACUUUAAAAGAAGCACAAACAAUCAUUGUGCUUGGUUUGGUUUGUACAUAAUAUUUUUUGGGCGGGUGACAUUAACAACAUACCACUUGGUUUAAUAAAGCUCUCCGAGGAUCUUGAGGCAUUUAACAUCUAUUCUUGGGUUUAUGAAAGCUUCAAAAUGACUGUUAAAUAUUUGUUGACUCCGUUAACGCCAAAGACAAUUAACUUAUAUGGAUUUUCAUAGACUUUCAUGGUAAAUAUUUCCUUUAUUAUUAUUCAUUUAUUUUUUAUUGAAUAAUGCUUUUAAUUUAUUGACUUUAUUUUAUAGGCUUGGGCAUUUGAAGUCAUUCCUUAUUUGUGACAAUAAGUGAACUACCAGUAGUAAGUUUCAUGUCCAAGAAUUCUGAGAUGGCUGUCGGCCAAAACUGAUAAAAAUGCAAAAUUUCUUAAUCUCUUAAACCCUCAGAAGAAAGCAGUAAGUCUAAUUCUAAUUAAGUUUUUAUUUUAAUUAAUGAUUUAUUUAAAUAAUUUAAUCAUCAUUUUAAUAUAUGUACUGAUUUAUUUUAGAUCGUGCAUUCAUGGCUUGUUCCAACAAAUCGAAAGUUAAAGAUGCCAUUUUUUCUUACUUUGCGGUUUGUGAAAAUUUUAUCGGACCCUAAGGUCAUUGAUAGAAUAAAAAGGAAUUGUUUGGAGCAACAACCAUCACAAGAAAAAUAACAAUUUUGAAGGGUGGGCUUGUUGUUGGGUAUGAUGUUAGUGGUGAUGGAGUUGUUGGUGGUGGUAGUGGUGCUGUUGUUAGGGCUAAUGAUACUCCUCUUGCAGUUUUUGAAACAAUAAACCAUUAUGAUUAUGAUCAUACUGGUUUUACAGAUUUUUCCCCUCCUAGCAAAUGUUCUACAUGCAAAUGCCAAGACUGUAAAGUGAAACAUGAUGGAGUGAUUAAUGUUAUUAAUGAAUUAACUACUUAUGUAAAGAAAUUGAUAUCUAAAAGGGGUGUCAUUCCAUCAAAGAGGAAUUCAUAUCCAUACACUCCAUUAGAGAUUAAGGUGGCUAAGAGGAGGAGGGAAGAAAUUUCAAAAGCAUCAUCAAGCAUCGAAAAAAGCAAAAUUGCAACUCCACUAUCUUUGUCUUGAACUUUUGAUCAAUGUACAAGGGCCACAGAAGAGCAGCAUGAGCCGAAGAAGGUGAAUAUAUAUCAUCUGUUCCAACAAACAAAUAGACUAUAUAUCUUUUGCAACAGAUGACAUAUCUGCUGAAAAUAAUCAAACAAAUAUAUCCAUCUGUUGCAACAGUUGACUAACUUGUUGCAUCAGAUGUAUUAUUUGUUGCAUCAUAUGUCUUGUCUAUUUUAAAAAAUCAAACAAGUCUUCCUACUAUUUUAUUUUGUACCAACAGUUGAUCAAUCUGCUGUAAUAGAUAUUUCAUCUGUUGGGAUAAAUUAAAUCAAGACUUUCUACUGUUUUAUUCUAUCCAAAUAGAUGAGUCAUAUGUUGCAAUAGAUGGGUCAUCUGUUGGAAAUUAUCAUACAAUUCUUCUCUUAUUUUAAUUUGUCCCAACAAAUAAUCCAUUUGUUGCAACAGAUAAGUAAUCUGUUGGUAUAAUUUAAGAUAAGAGGAAGACCUGUUUGAUUUGGUAAAACAUAUGAGAUAUCUUUUUUUUGUUUUUUUGUAUCUCUGUGAUUAGCAUUGACAAUUCUGGCUUUCCAGGUGAAUGUCACAGUAGAAGCUACUGGUGAACAACAUAAUAUCACAGUUGAUAAUCAAUUAACUACUUCCAAAAAUGAAUAAAACAUGAAGUCUAUCAGUCCAUAAGAACGAAGAAUUACCCGUUUGAAGGGUUCAACAUCUUGGAUGAGGCUUCAAAAAAACUAACAAAGUUGAUCGACGACUAUUCAGAAUUGAUUGCCAAUAGGCUGUUAAGGCUUCAUACCAACAGGUACAUAAAUCAUUUUUAAAGAUAUUGAUUUAUACAAUUCUUGUCGCAAGAACGUGACAUUAACACAUAUAAAUCAUGCAAAAAAUAAAAUGACAAACACUACAAAGUGAACGAAUUGGGUCUUGGUUUUGAUAUGUUCAACUUUAUUAUUGCACAUUUCAGAACGAAUAAUUAGUGUCACGUAAUCUGUAAUGUUUGAUAAUAUGUUCAACGCAUCAAUGUCAUUUUUACUACCUUCGAAAAAAGGCCAAGUUGCAAACACAAGAAUAAUACAGAUAUAUAAUAGCUAAUUAUUUGUUCAAAGUUUAUAUCAAUAAUGCCUAUGAUAGGUAUUGUCAAUAACAGCCGAAAGUUUUCCGAAAUGAUGAAUGUUUAAUCAAUAUCACCAAAGGCUUUAGCAUUCUAGUCGGCUUACCUUGAUAUUUGGUCGACGAAGUGUACAUCCUAAUUAAUUGCGGUGAUAAAUUCCAUUGGGUGUUGGCUGUCGUCGCUCUAAAAGAGAGGCGCAUCCGAGUUUACCACUCGAUGUCGGGAAGGAGAUGAUCUGGGUCGUCUUCUGAGAUACAAAAGCUGGCCAAAAUAUUACCUACUUACCUGGAUAUAAGUGGCUUUUUGGACCAAAAGGUUCGUACUGAUUGAUCGACGAUUGAAGCAUAUCGGGAUAAAAUGGGCAAUCCAUUUGAUGUAGAAUAUGUUGAAGGAAUUGCUCAACAACCCAUUGGUAUCCUGUAAGUAUCAAUCAAGUAUCAUUAUUUAGUUUCAUUUCAUAAAUUUCACAACGCUUACAUUAAUUACAAGAUAUGGAUUAUCUGAUUUUUACAAACACAGAAAUUGCGAUUUUUUUGUUGCUGCUUACGUCGAGUAUUUAAGCGAUGGAUUAAAAAUACCAAAUGAUGGACUUGUAGUCGGAUUAAUCCAUAAAAGAUAUGCUACUCUUUCAUGAAAAUACGGUAAAAUGAAAGCUCAGAAAUCAUGCACAAGAGACAUUAAAGAUCUACGAUGACACAAGUCAAUUUUCAUAGCACCGGAUGAAGAACAACUUGUCCAUAUUGAGCAGAUCUUUACUAUCAAAAUAAUAACCUCUCCUUAAGAAUUGUUGGCAGCAAAAUUUAAAUUGUUGAUUUAUUUGAUAUGUAGAUCAUAUGUAACCAUAACAAUUUUUUUACAAUUUUAUUUAUUAGUUGAUUUAUUUCAUAUUAUUUCUAAAGGCUUCGAUUUAUUUUAUUUUGUCUAUGUUAUCCUUAUAUUUGAACUUAUUAAUUGAAAUGAAAUACUAGAUUCGAAUAUUGCAACAGAUAAUGCAUAUGUUGAAACAAACGACAUAUUUAUUGGAAAUUAUCAAAUAGAUUUGGACAUAUGUUGCAACAUGCAGGUCAUAUAUUGGAAAUUAUCAAACAGGUCUUCCUACUAUUUUGAUUUGUUCCAAUAGAUGACCUAUCUGUUACAACAGAUAGACUUAGAUAUAAAUAUUUGCAUAAUGCAAUAAAUGACCAAUCGAUUACAACAAAUAAACUAUCUGUCAGAAAAGAUAGACUAUCUGUUACAACUAAUAGACAAUUUGUUGCAUUAUAAAAAAUUUAAUUUACAUCAAAUAUAAAAAAAAUUAUCAUGAAAUAAAAAUUUCCAUGGUGUUUGUGUUUCUACAUCAUCUUUUUUAUACACAGGCUCUAAUAAUUUAGUUAGUACGCCAUAAGCCCAGACCUCUUGCAUCCUUGCCACAAUAUUGUCGCACAGAAAGGCCGUUGGGUUGGACAUUUUUGUGCCGGUCAGCAAACAUUCGAUGUGUGCAAGUGCGUACGACUCGCAUGCGGCACCAAUUUUAUUUUUUGAAAUGUCCUUAUCCUUGUUUCGACCUCCAAAAUCCCAUGUUUGCUUCAACACUUUCGAUGGCAAAUAAUUUAUCAGUCUGCUCUACCUCAACAAGUUGGGGAACAAUGCCAAUAGUGGCUGCAUCUUGGUAAAACAAAUCCGCCUCCUAGAAGACAGGCAAGUUGCAGUCAUAAACCUUUAUCAUUCCCUCCUCGAGCAGUAUCUCAAAAGCCAAAAAAUAUUUUUUUUUCUCCAAGUUCAUGACUGUAAGAAUCCUCUUUGCUUUGGUCCAGUCUUAGCCAUAUAGAUAUGGCCUCUUCCCUCUAAUAUAAUUAAUCAUAUCUUCAUCCCAUUCGAACCCAGAAACUAACAAAUCAAAUCCCGGGCCACCGGGAGUUGACGCUAGCUUAAUGAGGUCAGUGUACCUAUCCUUAAAAUUAUUAUAGAAGUUGAGGUCCAUUAUCCUAUCAGCAGCAUCAUAAGCUUUCAGGUACGCUAAUUGCUUGCCCCUUAUGAGGUAGAGAAUUUCAUCAACAUACUGUGAUGUAAGAAGACAAUUUUUAAAUAGGUUAGUAAUUUUACAAAAGAAAAUCAAAGUGGAAAGAUUCAACCGAUGGUUUAUUUGUUGCACGUGAUUCUCUAAAUCUGUUAACAGAUUACCCAUCUAAUGCAACUUAUGCAACAGAUGGAUAAUCUGUUGCAACAGAACCACCAGUUACACCAGAAUACCCAGUUGUUGCAACAAAUAAUCCAUAUCUGUCAUCUUUUUCAUAGAGUAAUUAGAAGACUAGGUUAGAAAAAGUGAAAUUACUGUGUCUGUCAUACCCGACUUUUACCUAAGGUCAAAAUGAACACGACGUUAUGGACUCUAAUAGAAUUGAUUUUGUACAGAGUCGCCACCUAAUUUUUAAGGAAAAUAAGGAAACCUAUUUAUAUAUUAACAAGUAUAACUUUAUUUCAAUAUAAAAAAUCAUUUUAGAUUUCAGGUAAGGGUUCAAAUUAUUCUGAAGGGAAAGGGUUAGGCACCUUCAGAAUCCACAGAGGUGAUUCCCGGCCAGACUUGGAUUUAUUAAAAGAUAAAAGGAAAAAAAAAAGGUUUACAAAUAUAGCAUAUGUAUUGAAAUAAUAUAAUGUGUAUGUUGUCGUAAAAUAUAUAUAAACAAAAGUAUAUAAGUAUAUGUAUGUAAAGAAAAGACAAGAUUUGAAUAAAGAAAAAAUUGUUUUAAAGAAAAGGAUCACGAAAUAUUUUUUAGUCUAAAAAAUGUGAAUUAUUUGAUUAAAUAAUUUAUAAAUAUUUAAUAUAAAUAUUUAUGACCUAAAUUUGGCUAAAAUCAUGUUGUGGAUUGCAUAAAUAAAGACUAUCCCGCCCAACGCCUAAAAAAUAAAGUUUUUACUAUGAUUAAUAUUUGUGCAAUGAUAAGUAUGUAAGAAACACAAAUACGAAUAAUUCAAGAUUUUCUUUGAAUGUCAUUCCCGAAAAGUGUUCCCGAGAACCUGUACAAAUACUCACGGUAAAGAUGUUAGUAACAGAUCAAGAUAAAUUAAGAACUAUGUGUACAUAUAUAUAUAUAUAGAGAGAGAGAGAGAGAGAGAGAGAGAGAGAAUUUUUUAUUAAAAGCGGGCUCAAAUAAAGUUUUAAGAAAAUUAUAAAGAUUCCAUUAUUGCCCGAAUUUAUUUAUUUUAUUACAUAUUUAUAUACGUAAAAUUCAUCUUUUUAUUUGUGGAGGCCUCGAAAAUCGACGGAGAAUUUCUUCAUCGAUCAAAGUAGCAUAGUAUAGGUUUGUUACAGUGUAAUAAAAAUGUAAAAGGAGAAAAAGAUUUAAAAAAAAAGGAAAUUAGUUUUAGAAAGUGCAAAACCAACAACAAAUCAACUGUAAUAUAGCAAAUCAUGAAUUAAGUUGUCGGAGUAGAAUUACUCCGUCAAAUAUCAACAUGAAAUUACCAAACUAAUGUAAAAUUGCAAUCUAAGUAGUAGCAUAACAGUCAGUAAGUCAACCAAAAGUAAAGUAGGAAUAUUUAUUGGAGAACAUGAAGAUCUCAUUGCUAAACUCAAGUUCAUAUCAUACAAUCGUAAGAGAGAUCCAAAAGGUUGCUUCCACGAUGAGGAAUGUCAGAGAAACACUCCAACAAUAAUGACAAAUUUGGCCAAAUCUGAAAUGGUAAAUCAAGAGUAACACAAUUAAAAUUUGAGGCAAGUAAGAACUCAAACACCACUACUGCUUUAAUAGCGAUGGAAGUCCAGGGUAGUGCGUUUCUCGGCCAAGUUUGCUAAAGGGAUGAGAGAAGAAAAAGAGGUAGCACCGGCAGUGGUGGCUUCGGAGCUCACUCAUUGGCGAUCAAUUCUGACAUGGCAUGACAAAAGAGGGGGAGAAAGGAUAGCACGUCUGAGGCUGCCGAUAUUGAUAUUAUUUGUCGGUCGUCCAGUGGCCAAAUCUGAUAACGGUAAUGGGAAGAGGGUAAAGAGAAAGAUGGGCGACUGGUUGCUGGUGUUGCGAAGCUCACCCACUGACGAUUAACUCCAUCGAGGCAUGACAGUGGUAAAGGGAGAGAGAAGGAGGUAUGAGAUGGAGAGAGAGAAAGAAAGGCACAUCUCUAUGUGUAUAGCACAUCUCUAUGUGUAUACAUUACUAUAUGUAUGUGUGUUGUAUUAAUUUAUUUUGUGUUUUCUAAGAGAAAAGAAAAUAAAAUUUGUGUAUGGGGUAGUUGAAAAGAGAAAAAAUAUGUGUGUAUUUUUUUAUGUAUUUUUGGGGAAAAAUAGAAAAGGAGGGGAGAUUUUCUUUUGUGUGUGUGUGUCUAUUGUGCAUGUAUUUGAGAAACGAAAAAAUAUGUGUGGGUGUAUGAAAAUGUUUGUGUGUGAAUUUGUGUCUUCCCCUCACCUAUUUAUAAUAAAAUUGGACACCCUUUAUUAUUCAAAGGAUAAAAGGGUGUCCCUACUUUUUCUUUGAGAGCACCCUUUGGACUUUGGGUUAUUGACCAAAGGAUUUUCAUCCUUUUAACCAACAUACAAAGCUAUUGUCCAAAGGGUAAUGUCAUUAAGUUGUCAUUUUCAGAUGUGACAAGACAUUAUUGUGUGGUCGUUGUUGAAUGUAACAAGACAUUAUUAUGUGGUCGAUGUCGUAUGUGACAAGACAUUAUUGUGUGGUCAUCGUCAGAUAUGACAAGACAUCAAAUUAUUAUAAUAUGUAUUAAAAUAGUUGAUCCAACUCAGUUUUUGCGGGUGUAAUAAAUGUACAAAAAUGUAUGUAUUGAUAUGCAAUUACAGAAAAUAUAAAAAAUAUAAUUAAGAGAUAAUACCCAAUUACCACCCUGAACUAUACCCAAAAAGGCUAUGACACACCUCAACUUAAAGGGGGUCCUAUUACCCCCUGAACUAAUUAAAAGUGUAAUUUUGACACCCUUAGUGCCUACGUGGUGCCUACUGGCACAUACGUGGCACAACACACUGAAGUGUCCAUGUAGGCACACGUGUGUGCCACGUAUGUGCCACAUAGGCACUAAGGGUGUCAAAAUUACGGGUAAUAGGACUUCCUUUAAGUUGAGGUGUGUCAUAGCCUUUUUGGGUAUAGUUCAGUGGAAUAAUUGGGUAUUUUAUCUAUAAUUAAUUUUAAAAUAUUAUUAAAAUGUGACAUUAUGUCGUGUGUGCAGAUGAUUGUAAAAUGUUAAAAAUGAUAAUGAAUUGAUAAAAAUUCUAAAGUAAGGAUAAUUAUUAAUAAUUUGUCAACAAUUGUAAAAAAAAUGUAAAAAUUAUAUUUUUGUGCCCUUUAACGAUCAGGAAGCUCGAAGACAUUAAUUUUAAGCACGGAGAGCCAAAAUUGGGUGUCAACAGUGUCCACUACCACUGAUCCAUAUCUGCCACCUUUUUGAAGUCCUGGGGAAAAGGUAUUCAUGGUGAAGGUUUUUAUACGUUUCUUGGAAUUUAUUGUCUUUCUCAGAACAACCUUCUAUUUGGAAUCAAGUUCCAAAUAUAUGUCCACCCUCUUCAAUAGUCCCUGAACUUCAACAUCUUUUGGAGAGAAAGGAGUUGCAAUGUUUUUUGGUUUCAUAAUUAAGAGUAUAUGUUUAAUUUCUCUUUUCUUCUUCCUAACCGCCACUGUAGGAGUGUAUGGCGCACUCACCUUCUUGGAUGGUAUAACACCCCUCUUUGAUUUUAAUUUCUUGACUGAUUUAGCGAUAGCCUCUACUUUUUCAAAGAGUUUAUCCUGUCUGUCCAUGCACUCGUUGUAUUACAAUGAGAAUAUAAGGGUGAAAAGGGGUGAGAGGGACCACUGUAAGGGGUAGAGGGACCGGUGUAAGGGUAAGAGGGACCAGUGUAAGAGGUGAUUUAAAACAUAUUUAUUUUUUCUUGAACAUCAAUAUGCUCAUCAUCAUGACUGGCAGCAGCAACAGCAUGGCUGCCACCAAUAUCAACAACUUCACUAGCAAUACUCCCAAAAGCAGCACCCGAAUCUGUUGCAACAUGUUGGUCAUGAAGAGCUUCAACAUUAGCCUAACCUUGUCUAACUGCCCUUCUUAUGGUUAUUGCUUCAGCCAAUUCCUUCUUUAUUAACUCCACCGUUGGGUCUGUGAUGGCAUCAAAAAGACCUAAAGUAAUAAAUAAAGUCAUUCCCAACUCCUGUUGAGUAAGCACGAUCCAUGGAUGUACAACCUAAAAUAAAGGGUGGAUGCAUUUAAAUCAAAUAAUAAUUUGCAGUCGGUUGGGUAAUGUGUUAAUACAAACAACAUAUGUAACAGAUGAUAUUUAUGGUGCAACAGAUAAUUCAUAUGUGGCAACAGAUUAACCUUUUGUUGCAUCAUAUUACCCAUAAGUUGCAAUGGAUGGGUAAUCAAAAAAGUUUGGUUUAGAGAACCAAAGCAACAAAUGGUUAAUUUGUUGUGAAAAAUGACUUAUCUAUCGCAACAGAUUAAUAAUAUGAUUCAUCAAAUGGGUAAUCUGUUAAGAUAAAUUGUAAUAGAUUACCAAUCUAUUGUAAUAUAUAAAUCAUCUAUUUCAAUAUCUUUCUUUGAUUCAAAUUAUUUUACUUGAAAGAAGACUUACUGCAUUAUCCAGAGGGUUAAAGAGAUCACCCUCCUUAAUUCUUAUAUUGCUCUUUGCAACCAAUCGCCAAAGUAUCCUUAGAUGAGAAAUCUCAUCCGAGUAAUUCUUGACCUGCUUUUGGAGGGAAGGAAUGACUUCAAAUGCCCAAGCCUAAAAAUGUAAACAGGAAGCAAACCAAAAUAAGUCAUAAUAAUUAUUUAAUAUAAACUAAUGCAAAAGUAUAAAAAUAGUGAUUAAAUUUACCAUGAAAGCCCAAGGAAAGUCGUACAAGGUGAUCAUCAUUAGGGAUGGAUUUGUCAAUAAAUAUUUAACAAACAACUUAUAGUUGUCAUAUCCCCAGGGAUAAUUAUUGAAUUUCUUAAGAUCCUCAACAAGCUCCAACCAAUCAUCUUCUAUGACUUUGUUGACGUCUCUUGCCAAUAUAAUGGAAUGGGCAAACCAAACCAAGCACAGGUUAUUUUUGUACUUCUUUGGUAUGGCUUUAUCCUUAAGAUGUUGUAACAACAUCGUGGCUCUGUAGCCACGUCCAUCAAUGUCCAAAAACUCCUCCAUUUUUUUCUUAUGUUUGUUGGUUUUGGAGGGUGGUCGCUUAGACAAUGCCUUGCCUUUAUUUGAUGGUGGUGGCUUGGAUGUCCUACUUACCUUUAAAUUUUUGUGGGUUGCUUCCUUGAUGAAAGGUUCUUUUGGACGAUCGUAUCUCAAGCCUGUCACUAUGGCAAACUCUUGCAUGCUAAAACAAAUUGGCAUGCCAUAGUAGUUGACCCAGAUUUCAUCCAUCUUUUUGCCUUCCUCCUUCAAAUCUUUAUCAUCUCCACCGUACUUGAUCCUGUACUUGAGAAGACCAUAUACUAUGCUCAUUUAGAAACAGGCAUUAUUGUCUCAAGAAAGUGUCCAAAACGCUCUUCUUAAAAAAUUUCUCUAGUGUUUCAUUCUUCAUAGUAUCCCUAAAUUCAUCAAAAGGUUUUACCAACUGAGAUUUGACUACAAAAUCACCAGCUAGUUCAGUAGAGUUAUCUAUCGGUAUCUCAACUUGAAACUUGUCAAUACUAAUAGUUUUGACAGGAUCAUGCUGGGAUUUUGAUCUUAAUUCACGCCCCAUUGGCGAUGCAUUAUCAUCAUCAUCUUUCUCACUUUCUAUUUCCUCCUCUUCUUGUUUAUCUUUUUCUUCUUCCUCCUCACUUUUUUUCCUCGCCAGCCUCUACAUACCCUUCUCUACCUCUCUCAAUAUCAUUUUCAAAACUUUUCACGACUUUACUUUUCCCUAACUGAGAUUAUUCAGGAUGUUCCUCUAAAUCCAUUUGUACUCGAGUCUUUUUUGCUAAGUGAUCAGAAGUUGAUUCACUUUCAGUUUCUUUUCUUUUGAAGACAUCUUUUAAUACAAACAACAGAAAAAAUAAAAACUACAUUACAAUUGAUGUCUGCAUAAUUUGAAAAAAAAUUUAAGACAGAUUUUAAUAAUUUUUUAUACACCACAUUACAAAAAAAUAUUCUAGUCGAUAACCCAUCCGUUGGAACAGAUGAAUCAUCUGUUAUGACAGAUGCGUAACAUGUUGCAACAAAUGAACAAUCUGAUGAAUGAGAUCAAAACAGUCUUGCUACUGGCUUGUCUUAUGCCAACAACUGAAACAUUUGUCGAAACAGAUGGGGAAUAUGUUUAAAGACCUAUGUUAAUAUCUCCCAAUAGAUGUUCCACCUGUUGUAACAGAUGAACCACCAACACUAAUGCCACCACCACCAUCACCACCAUCACUAUCACCAAGACCACCAACACAACCACUAAGACCACUAACACCAACACCAAUGCCACCAAUAUCGACAACAAGACCACCAACCCAACCAAUACCACCAACACCACCACCAAGACCACUAACACCACUACCACAACCACCACUACCAAGACCAUUAACAAGACCACCAACACCACAGUCAACACCAUCCUAUAAUACCACGAAGUCAAUGAAACACUAUAAUAAAAACUAGGAUUUUCUUGAGUUCUUCCUACAUUUUUAGCAUCAAAACUCUAAAUUGUUAAUCCAUUCUCGAAGAUAAUGUAAUUAAAAGUGUUCUUUUUCUUCAUUAACUAAAAAGUCAUAAUUUUUAUAUAAAAAAAAAACAAAUGUAGAACUCUUCUCGAACUCUGUUACCUGUAAAGACAGAGAAAACAAUGAAUACAAGUAAGAAUGAAGUAAAAAAUAACAAUUAUAUGGUGUGAAAUGGGAAGAAAAUUAAUCUAUUGUGAAGGGUUGAGCAACAUAUUGAGUAGUUGUUGGUUGUAUUAUUGAGAGAGAAUGAAAAGAGAGAGAACUCAAGAUUUGAAAUGAUGAAAUGAUUUUCUCGCAAAUGGAUGAUUUGUAUGGGUUGAUUUGUAUUUUUAAAAAGAAUGAUAAGUUUUGAAAAUGUUAAUUUGGUUAGAAUUGAUCUUAAUUAAUUUUUUAAAAGAGAUAAAUUUUAACCAUUUCAUCAUAAUAAACUGUAUUAAGUUUAACCGAAACACUGAUGAAUUUAAUGAUAGCUUAAAUAAUAGCUUGAUAUGAAUUGUUUCAACUCAUAUUUAUUGAUUGAUGACUCAAGUCAGAAGGAACGCAAUACCAACAUCAUGCAAUUGCAACGACUCAAUUGAAAUUGUAGUUGAUCCUAUGAACUCAUCCCUAGUUCUAGAAAAAUUAAUUUAGGUAUUUCAAACAAUGGCUUGAUAUGAAUUGAUUCAACUCAAAUUGAUCGAUUGAUGACUUAGGUUAGGAGGAACGCAAUACCAAUAUCAUGCAAUUGCAAAAACUUAAUUGAAAUUAUAGUUGACCCUAUAAACUCAUCCCUUAUUCUAGCAAAAUAGAGUUAGGUAUUUCAAAUAAUGGCUUGAUAUGCCUCAUUUCAACUAAGAUUGAUUGAUUGAUGACUCAGAUCAGGAGGAGCACAAUACCAAUAUCAUGCAAUUGCAACGACUCAAUUGAAAAUAUAGUUGACCCUAUGAACUUAUUCUUAGUUCUAGCUAGGGGUGUACAGACCAAACCGCCAAGUCAAACCAAACCGACGAACCAAACCAAACUGAGAAAAAAAAUCGACUUAUGGUUUGGUUUGAUUGGUUUGGCGUUAGAAAAAAAUGACCAUUCUUGAUUUGGUUUGGUGUUAACCAAAAAAAAGUCAAACCAAACCCGAAUCAAACCGACAUAAUAUAUAUAUAUAUAUAUAUAUAUAUAAUAUUCGAACUUUUUUAUACAUAAAAUAUUAAUUAGAAUCCACUUUUGAAUACUUUUUCAACUAGUUUUAGUAAUUUUCAAUAAUUUGAAAGUAGAUGUAGAUAUAUAUUGGAAAAAAUACAUAAAGUAGCAUACUUAAGUAUUAAAUUACAAAAAAUAGCAACACUUUUAUCAAAUUACAUUUUGUAGCAUAUGUAUUUGUAUGUAUUUGUAUUUUUGUAACAACAGUUUGCAAAAAUACAAAAUACAUAUCGAUCAUAAGGGCAGUAAAAAAAUUAUACGUAUUUGUAUUUUUGUAGCAACAGUUUGUAAAAAUAUAAAAUACAACUUGCUAUAUUAUUUAAUUAUGAAACUGUUGCUAUGAAACUCAUAAUUAAGGGGAGUUGGAAAAAAUUUAGGCCUUUAAGUUGUAAUAUUUGUCCAUUAAUUGCUAAUUAAAUAAUCAAAAAUCCAAUAUAAACAUAAAACCUAAACUUUGCACUCUUCAUCUCACUUUUUAGUUUCAAGAGAGUUUUUCGCUCCCCAUUUUUUCAUAAUUGUGGUUUUUCAUUAGCACAUGAGUGAAAAUAUAUUUGAUCUAGUCUUCGACCACAAUAUAAUUGUAAAAACUAAAGAUUAUUAAAAAAAAGCUGAAAAGAUCAAAAAAAUUAACUGAAACCUAAACCGAAAAGAAUAAUUUUAUGUUGGUUUGAUUUGGUUUAUAGUUUUAAUAAACCGACAUGAUUGAUUUGAUUUAUUUUUAAUAAAAAUUGAACCAACCCAACCUAUGUACACCCCUAGUUCUAGCAAAAUCAAUUUAGGUAUUUUAAACAAUGGCUUGAUAUGAAUUGUUUCAACUAAAAUUUAUCGAUUGACGACUUAGGUCCGGAGGAACGUAAUACCAACAUCAUGUAAUUGCAAUGACUCAAUUGAAAUUGUAGUUGAUCCUAUGAACUCAUCCCUAGUUCUAGCAAAAUCAAUUAGUUAUUUCAAACAAUGACUUGAUAUGAAUCGUUUCAAUAUAAAUUGAUUAAUUGACGACUCAGAUUAGGAGGAACGCAAUACCAACAUCAUGCAAUUUCAUUGAUUCAAUUGAAAUUGUAAUUGACCCUAUGAACUCAUCCCUAAUUCUAGCAAAAUCAAUUUAGUUAUUUCAAACAAUGGCUUGAUAUGAAUCGUUUCAACUAAGAUUAAUCGAUUGACGACUCAGGUCAGGAGGAAUGCAAUAUUUCCAACAUCAUGCAAUUGCAAAGACUCAAUUAAAAUUGUAGUUGACCCUAUGAACUAAUCCCUAGUUCUAGUAAAAUCAAUUUAGUUAUUUCAAAUAAUGGAUUGAUAUGAAUCAUUUUAACUCAAAUUGAUCUAUUGAUGACUUAGGUCAGGAAGAAUGCGAUAUCAACAUCAUGCAAUUGCAAUGACUCAAUUGAAAUUAUAGUUAACCCUAUGAUCUCAUCCUAGUUCUAGCAAAAUCAAUUUAGGUAUGAAGUUGAACGUAUGAACUCAAUUGAAAUUAUACUAAAAUAGAAGCUUAACCUAUUGCAAUAGAUAACUUAUUUGUUGGAAAAUAUCAAACAGAUAAAAAACCUGCUGCCAUAGAUGAUUAUCUAUUGGAAAUUUUCAAACAGAUAGAGAAAUCUAUUACAACAGAUUACUUAUCUAUUAGAAAUUAUCAAAUGGACAUUUUCAUCAGUUGCAACAGAUGACUAAGCUGUUGAAAAAUUUUAAACAGAUAUUUAUAUCUAUUACAAUAGAUGACUUAUCUGUUUUAAGAUCUUUUUUUUAUUUUAAAGCAAUUUUUCUGUUUGAAAUAAAAAAAGAUAAACUACUAAGGCGAUAAAAAAUAUUUCUUAAAUAACUCAAAACUCUCCUCCUUGAGUUGUCAUUUCUUGUCUAUUCAAUGUCACCCGUCCCUCGUGUCCCUCAAAGUUAUUAAUGAAUAUUUAAACUCAUCUAUAUAAUUAUCUCUCCUUCAGCAAUAAAUUAAUUCAUCUUUCUUAUUUUUUCUCUCCUUUUUAGGGUAAUCACAAUAAUUUUUUUUCUCUCUUUUCUUUCUUCUCUCCUCUUUCGCAUGAGAAUCCUGUCGGAUCUCAACCAAUUUAUCUUUUAUCGAUUGAAAUUGGUGUUUUGAUCCCCUUGCUUUUGACAUUGCAGGUAUGGUUCACUAUUGCUCUUUCAUUCUCGUCUUUUUCUUUGCAUGUUAUUUAAAUUAGUUAUUUGCAUAUGUUGUUUUUAUUUAUUUACCUAAUACCUAUAUCCUAUUUAUUGAAAGAAUUAAAGGAAAGGUUCUUGAAUGAACAAACCAUUAUUUUUAUUAAAAUAUGCGAAAAAGUCAUCUAUUAGGAGAACUUAAAAAGCCUUAUUGGCAGUAUCAUUUUUUCUAAUCUCUUUUGUUUAUUUCUUUGUUGUUGAUAUUAUUAUUAAUGUUGUUGGUGGGGGUAGUGUUGUUGGAACGUGUGGUGUUGGUGUUAUUGAUGGUGUUGGAACAUAUGGUGUUAUUUUUUUAUUGUUGAUGCUGCUGUUAAUUUUGUUAUUGGUGUUGCAACAGAUUCCCCAAUUAUUGCAACUGAUAAAUCAGUUAUUUGAAUAAAUCCAACAACUCUUCCAAGAGAAGACCCAUCUGUUGCAACAUAUCGAUAAUCUGUUGCAAUAGAUUUAUAGCCUGUUACAACAGAUUACUUAUCUGUUGAACAAAAUGGGGAAUCAGUUACAACAGAUGAGUCAUAUGUUGGAACACUUGUUGUAAUGUGUUGUAUUUAUUUAAUUUUAUGUUGCCCUUUUUUAAAAUUGUACAAACAUCAAUUGUAAUGCUUUUCUUGUUCUUCUCUUGUUUGACAUCAAUUCUUUUUGUCUUGUUUGUAGAUAUAAGGAAGUGAAAGUUGAUCAACUUUUGCCCGACCAACAUAAAAGGCUAGAGUAAAGAUGGGUUAGGAGGAAUAAACUGCUUGCAGAUGGAACCACUUCAUAUGAGAGAGGUAUGUAUUAUUGAUCAUGUUAUCGUGAAAACACACAUAGAGUACACUGAUUUUGUGAAUAUUAUUUUUCAUUGAUUAGUCAUUGAUCAUUCAAAUAUGAUAUCUGUAAUUUUGCAGUUAAGUUUGAUAGGUCCAAACCGAUAAGGCUGAGGGACCCUGUAAGUGGUGUCGAUAACCUAUUACGGUUUAAUGAUGGUUUUGCAAAUGUUUAUGUGUCAAGUUUCGUAAAUGAAUCAAGUUUUGGUGGCAUUUUAAAAAAAUUCAAUAGUGAUUGGACUAAUUUUGAAGGUUCAAUGGACUUUUGAAAGGCCUCCGAAGCAUCACACUGCUGCAACCAAGAAUGAAAAUCAAAAUAGUUAUUGUCCUAGCCCAAUUUUAUAUGGUUGGGUUGCUUGGGGUGAUAACUAUACAACAGAAGGUACGGUAGAAGAAUACCUGUGAGGAAAAAAGGAGUUGAUAAAGAUUAUAUCAUCUCGAACCUUAUUAAAAUAGAAACACAGGGUACCAAGGAACGUGUAGCGAAUCUAGUCAAUGAAAUUAACUUAAAAUAUGAGAAAUCUGAAUCAAAUGCAAAUAUGAAAGUGUAUCAAAACAUGUAAAUCCGUCAGUCGUCUCUCUCAAAGAAAAAUAGUCUUGCUGGAUACUUUGCUAGGUAACUGCGACUAGUUAGAGUGGUCAAAAUGAUCAUCUCCAGAGAAAAUAACAGAACACCAAGGAAGCAACUUUGCGGACACCGUGGGUUGAAAUGCUGUACAUUAAAGACUGAAACUUGCACCAAGGAAUUCUGAAGUUGAAUUAAGAGAUAAAUCCAAGCCGGCAAUUUUAGAAGUUACACUUGCAUCCGAGGACUUCAGUUUGUGGUUCUGGUCAUGUCAGUCACAGUAAAAACAAAAAGGCUUGGGAUUUCUGCCCGACUUCAUACCUUUUUGUUUCCACUGCUAUUCACCUGAUCGAAACCACAAACAGAAGGCAUGGGAUGCAAUUUAAAAUUCAGAAAAAUGUCUUCUUGGCUUGAUUCCUUAUUUUAACUUCGGAAGUUCUUGGUGCAAAAUUUCAUUCUUUACUUACAUCAUUUCAAGCGUUGGUGCCCGCAAAGCUGCUUUUUUGGUAUUAUGUUAUUUUCUAUGUUGGUGAUCAUUUCGACCACGCUAACUAGUUGCAUUUCCCUAACAAAGUGUCCAGCUGCAGUAUUUUUCUUUGAGAGAGACGACUGAAGAAUUUUUAUUUUUGGAUACUCUUUUAUAUUUGCACUUGAUUCAGAUUUCUCAUGUUUUAAGUCAAUUUCAUCAGCCAGAUUCACUAGAAGUUCCUUGCUUGCUGCCCUAUGUUUCCUCUUCAAUUAGGUCUCAGAUGAUACAGUCUUUCAUCAACUACUAUUUCCUUAGCAGGUAUUCUCCUACGGCUCCUUUUGGCGUAUAAUCAUCUUCUCGAACAACUCAUCCAUAUAAAUUUGGGCUAGGGGAAUUUCUAUUGGUUUUUUGCUCUUAUUUGCUGCAGUGGGAGGCUUCAAAGUCCUUCUCAAAUUCCAGUGCACCCGUAAGUUAGUCCAAUCUCUAUUGGAUCUCUACAAUGACACCAAACAUUGAUCCCUUCUCAAAACUUGACGCACAUAAACAUUAGCAACAACCGUUAUUGAAUUGUAACAGAGUAUCUGUAACGCCCCAAAAUUUCAUCUCGAGAUGCCAUAUGGUGCUUAGGGCUACACGUAGCCCCAAGCUAACCCUCGGAGCCAGACACUACCUCAAGGAAUUCAAUUCAAGAAUAGUCAUGCAUAACAAAGAGAUAUACCACAUCGAGUUCAAGAGAAAUAUUAGAGAAUACUAGACUGUAUAACCAAAAUAUAUUAAAUGUCUGUACAUACCAACCCUCUAGUCUAACAAAGACUCUAUACAUCAAAAUCAAGGAGCCAUUAAGACAAACCCCCAACUAACUCAAACAGUACUGAAAGCCAUAACAACAGAACGAUAUCACAAAAAUAUAGACACGAUCCUCAAACCAUGAGGACUCACCACUGAGGGAACGUAGUUGAGGCACUCGAAUAUCGUUAACGCAGCUGCGGCUGAGUACCUAAACCAACAUUAUGAGAAAAUGUAGCCCAUAGGAAAAUAUGUGGGUCAGCACUUUGGAAUGUACUGAGUAUGUGGGGGUGCAUGCAACAAUGCAAAUAUCAUCAUCAAUUUCAUAAAAUAUGCAUAUGUACAAUGAUGGCUCACUUGGCUUGAGUUAGACUAAAACAUACUUUUCAUGAUCUCAUAGUAAAUAAAUCAUAUGAUAAAAACCUCAUAAAUCAUCAUAAACAACUCAACUCUUCAACUCAAGACUCAAAGUGACUCGAUAAUUCAAGAAACUCAACUCUUAUGGACAUAGGAGGUUCUUAUAACCGACAUAAACUAUGUGAGCUACAUAGAGUCCAACGUUUUGCCCUCCAAAGGAGAGAACCCCACAUUGGCGGGAGCGUCGUACUCUUACCAGGGAGUACAACCUAAAUUUAGUGAUCAUAAUCUCAUACUCGGCCUCUGGCCCACACACAAGCUCGGACGCGUUAGGAAAUCCACCACAAACAUCACAAGGGUCUAUCAUGAAGACCAAAUCAAAUCUCUUUCUCAUUUAUCAAAUCAUAAUCAAUUUAUGGAUUCCUAAGCCGACUCAAAUCAAAUCAACCUUUCUCAACAUCAAAAUGUAUCAAUUCAUUAAAUUAUGACAACAUCAAUAACUUUGAGGAAAUAUCAAGACUCAUUGUAACAACUCUAUAUCAUGAAUCAAUAUACUAAAUAAUCUAAUUUGUCAUAAGGAAGCUUAAAGGUUGACACAUAUCUUGAAAGCACUUGAAAUAUCAACUCAUGGUAGAAAUAUGAAACUCACAAUAUUAAAUAUCAAGUCAUAACUUAGGAACUGUAAAAUAAUCAUGUAUAACAAAACUUGAAUAAUUUAUAUUCUCAUAGUCUCAUGAUGAAGUAAUUUGGGUAUAAACCCACUUGCAAAAACAUAUAAAUCCAUAAUAGAAAUCAAACCUUUGGGCAUAAGAACGAAAGGAUUGCUCUUGUUCAAAACCCCACAUACCUUAAUCUUUGAAAUUGGAUGAAUUCUAGUGCUUAAGACUCUAUCCGCACUUGUAAUAAAUGAUUCUUGAAGCCCACACUAUGAGGAACUUGAUUCUUGAAGAAAUCUUGAAGAUUUAUGGAUGAUUUUUGGAAGAUUAAAUUUUCUUGAUUGAAACCCUAAUAUAUUUUCUUAUGAGAAUUGGAAGAGAGAAUGAAGAAAUUAGGGUUGGAUGGAGAUUCUCAUAUAUAUAGGGGCCUCCAAAAGAUGGAAAAAGACAAAAAUACCCUUGCAAAAAUGUCCUUUAAUUGCUGAAAAAAUAGCUAACGACAUUUGUGACAAGUCGUCAUGAAAUAUCGUCACAAAAGGGUGGAUUUUAUGAUUUUCAACUUAAGGUUGACGACAUUUUGUGACAAGUCGUCACAAAAUGUCAUCACAAAAUAUUGGAUUUUGUGACUUUCUGCUUAUAUUGACGAUAUUUUGUGACAAGCCAUCAGGCUUGUGACAAGUCGUCACAAAAUUUUCAGGCUGACACGUUGAAGUAAAAUGGGCAUAACUCUUUGCUCCGAUAUUGGAUUUUGGCGAAAUUGGUAACGUUGGAAAGAUAAUUCAAUUAUCUAUCUUUUGGUAGGUCAUAUGCUCAAUAAUUAGUAGUAUAACAAGAGAUAUGCUCAUUUGAAGUUGAAUAUAGCAAUAUCCUUCCUAAGAAUUCAAUCGGUAAGGAAUGCUUUGAUUCACCUAAUCGCUAGGACAUCUUUGAGGUCUUAAUACACAUCACCCUUGCUCAGAAAACAAACAAAGCACUAUAAUUUAUUUUUCAUGAGCUUGAGUCAUGGUUGCACUAUUGGUUAGAGUCUCGGGGUAUUACAAUAUCUCCCCCUCGGAAACAUUCAUCCUCGAAUGUUGCCUGAUAGGCCAAGAACAAGAGAAAAUACGGAUGUAUAGCUAGAAUGACUCACUCAAAGGGCUUACUUCACUCAAUACCUUUGUACACCAUACAAAAUGCAUGAAUUCGUGAUGGAAGUAGACACACAGCUGAAUCUUUAAUAAGAAGAGGGCGGAAUUAAGAAAGAAUGGCACCUUCUGCUUGCUUCAAACUCACAGAAAAGAGGUGAGGGUACUUGGCUCACAUAUCAGCUUCGUCUUUCCAAGUAGCACUCUCAACAGAUUGAUUUCUCCAAAUCACUUUAACCAAAGGAACUUCUUUGUUCCUUAGCCUACGGAUCUUAAAAUCCAAAAUCUCAACCAGAAUCUCCUUAAAUGAAAUGCUAUCCUGAAUAUCUAAGCUUUCAGAAGAAUCAACCACGAUAGAAUCACCAAUACACUUAUUAAGCAUAGAAACAUAGAAUACCGGAUGAACGCUAGAUAAAUUCGCAGGUAACUCCACCUCAUAUGCUACUUUCCCAACACGGCUCAGAAUCCUGUACGGACCAACAUAAUGGGGACUAAGCUUUCCCUUCUUCCCAAAUCUAUUCACCCCUUUCAUGGGUGAAAUCUUCAAGUACACCAAAUCAUUAACAUUAAACUCAAGAUCUUUUCUUCUCACAUCCGCAUACGACUUUUGAUGACUUUGAGCGGUCUUCAAUCUUUUUCGAUCAACUUAAAUUUUUCCAUAGCCUCAAACACCGCAUCAGGCCCAAUCACAGUUCCUCUCCUACUUCAAACCAACCUAUUGGCGAUCUACAUCUUCUCUUAUACAAAGCUUUGAGCGGGGCCAUUUGAAUACUAUCAUGGAAACUAUUGUUAUACGCAAACUUGAUCAAUGGCAAGUGCUCAUCCCAACUACCUUUAAAAUCAAGCGCACAUGCCCUCAACAUAUCUUUUAAAGUCUGAAUAGUCCACUCAGCCUAACCAUUUUCUUGCGGAUGGAAAGCAGAACUUAGACGAACUUGGGUACCGAGACCCUUCUGAAAAGCCCUCCAAAAUUGGGAAGUAAACUGAGUACCCUUAUCAGAGAUAAUAGCCAAAGGAACUUCAUGAAGUCUAACGAAUUCUCGAAUAUACAAUCUAGCAUAAUCCUUAGUUAUAUAAGAUGAGUGCACUGGCAAGAAAUAAGCUGAUUUAGUCAACCAGUCUACUACAACCCAAAUCGAAUCAUGAUGACGAUCAGAAGGAGGCAAACCAAUUACGAAAUCCAUAUUUACUUCUUUCCACUUCCAAGUAGGAAUGCUAAACUCUUACAUUACACCACCAGGCCUUUGGUGCUCUACCUUAACCUAUUGACAAGUAUAACACUUUGCCUCAAAUCCUGCUAUGUCUUUCUUCAUACCAUUCCACCAAUAGAUUUCCCUCAAAUCACGGUACGUCUUGGUAGCAUCGGGAUGAAUAAAGUAUCGUGCACCAUGCGCUUCCCCCAUAAUUCUCUAUCGUAGAUCAUCAACAUCGGGAACACACAAUCUACCUUGCCAUCUUAACACGCCAUCUCCCCCUUGGGAGAAAACCUCUACCUUUUGGUCUUUAACUGACUCCUUCAGUCUGACCAAACUAGGAUCUCUGUCUUGCUUCUCCUUUACCCAUGAGACCAAAGAGGACUCAAAGCUACUCUGAACUAACAUACUUCCUUCAGCGGAAUCAAGCAAUAUAAUACCCAACCUAGCUAAACCAUGCACAUCAUGAGCCAAUUAUUUCUUAUCAUUCUCUACAUGAGCUACACUACCCAUAGACAACCUGCUAAGAGCAUCUGCCACAACAUUGGCCUUACCCGGGUGAUACAACACACUCAUAUCAUAAUCUUUUAAUAUCUCCAACCACCGUCUCUGCCUAAGGUUCAACUCCUUUUAGGUGAACACAUACUGCAAGCUUUUAUGGUCCGUAAGGACAUCAACAUGGACACCAUACAGAUAAUGUCUCCAGAUUUUCAAAGCAAAAAUUACAGCUGCUAAUUCAAGAUCAUGGGUUGGGUAAUUCUUCUAUGAGGCUUCAACUGUCUAGAGGCAUAAGCUAUAACUUUACCCCUCUGCAUCAACACACAACCCAAACCAACUCUAAAAGCAUCACAAUACUCCACAAAACCAUCAUUACCAUCAGGUAAAGCUAACACUGGGGCUGAAGUGAGUCGAGUCUUCAACUCCUAAAAACUCUUCUCACAGGCAUCUAUCCAUUGAAACUUAACUUUCUUUUGGGUCAAACGGGUCAUGGGGGAUGCAAUGGAAGAUAAUCCUUUAACAAAAUGAUUGUAGUAACCAGCUAGACCCAAGAAACUCCUAAUGUCAGAUGGGGAGGUAGGUUUAGGCCAAUUCUUUAUAGUUUUUGUCCUUUGGGGAUCGACUCUAAUGCCUUCGACGGAAACAAUGUGACCUAGAAAAGCAACUGACCUUAGCCAAAAUUCAUACUUUCUAAAUUUAGCAAAUAAUUGAUGAUCUCUAAGACUUUGCAAGACAAUUCUAAGAUGGUCGGCAUGAUCAUCCUCUCUUUACGAAUACACAAGAAUAUCGUCUAUGAAUACAAUGACAGGCAAAUCCAGAUACUGCUUGAAUACUCAGUUCAUCAGAUCCAUAAAAGACGCUAGAGCAUUGGUUAACCCAAAAGACAUGACCAAGAGCUCAAAAUGACCAUAACGGGUUCGGAAGGUUGUCUUUGGAAUAUCACAUUCCCUAACCCUAAGCUGGUGAUAGCCGGAUCUAAGGUCUAUUUUUUAGAAGUAGAUCGCACCUUGUAACUGAUCAAACAAAUCAUCAAUUUGAGGAAGAGGGUACCUAUUCUUGAUAGUUACCUUGUUGAGUUGACGGUAAUCAAUGCGCAUACGCAAUUUACCAUCUUUCUUACACAUGAAUAGAACAGGUGCAAAAUAUUGGGUCUAAUAAAGUCUUUAUCUAAGAGAUCUUUGAGUUGCUCCUUUAACUCUUUAAGUUCUGCGGAAGCUAUAUGGUACGGAGAAAUGAAAAUAGGCUGAGUGCCGGGAGGGAUAUCAAACCAGAAUUUUAUCUCUCUAUUAGGUGGGACCCCUGGGAGAUCUUCUGGGAAAACAUCGGGAAACUCAUUAGCAAUGCUAACUAACUGAAUAGUCGGAGUCUCGGACUUGAGGUCAUUAACUUGAACUAGGUGAUAGAUAUAACCCUUGGAAAUCAACUUCCUAGCUUUGAGGUAGGAUAUGAAAUGGCUCUUCGGAGUUACAGAACUCCCGGACCACUCAAAAAUGAGCUCAUCAGGAAACUAAAAAUUGACCACGUGGGUAUGACAAUCUAUAGAUGCAUAGCACGAGUGAAGCCAAUCUAUAUCCAAAAUGACGUCAAAAUCAACCAUAUCUAGCUCAAUCAAAUCAGCACAUAUGAACUGAUGAAGGACAGUGACGAGACACUUCUUAUAUACUCUCUUAGCAAUAAUAGAUUCUUCUACCAGGGUAAAAACUAGAAUAGGCUUUGGAAUCCGUUCAGGGUCCAUCUCAAAAUUUACAGCAACUAGAGGUGUCACAUAAGAGAAACUCGAAUCAGGGUCCAUCAAUACAUACACAUCAAAAUAAAAAACACGGAUCAUACCAGUGACAACAUUUGGAGAGUCCUCCUACUCCUGGCAAAGUGGUAUAGCAUAAAAGCAAUUCUGGCGCGAACCACCGCAGUACUAGAAGAGAUACCCUGAGGAAGAACUAGGCGGACUAAGGGAGCGGGGUCACUAGUAGCCUAACUCUGGGGACGAGCAUCUCGACUCCCCUAUCUAACAUACGGACAAUCUCUAAGUCGGUGGCCUAACUUUCCACAACCCAAGAAACCCCUCUGAUCAAUAAAACACUCGCCAAAAUGAUCUCUACCACACUUGGCACAUGAAGGAGGACGAGGUAUGUUACACUUUCCUGAGACCUAGAUGGGAUAGGCAUGUUCCCCUGGUCCUGCCUGCUUCUAGGCAUGAGAGCACUAACUGAGGAAAGCGCGGGCAUAAAUGGACAUCCCUGGAAUUGAGGGCGGUUCCCUCCAUGGAAUUUGGACUAAUCGGAUCCCUACUGCUCUGAUCUAGCUACUUUAUUCCCUCUUACUCUCUCUCUCUCUUUCACCUUAUCAGCUUUAAUCUGUUGGGCAUGUAUCAUCAAUCGAGAAAGGUCCAUCUCCCUAUUAAGCAUAACAAAUCUACUCUCUUUCACAACAUAACUCGACACGCCAGUCACAAACUUACUCAUGAUGGUCCUGGAGUCAGCCAUCAUACUAGGAGAAUAUUUAGAUAACUGAUUAAAUCUAAGACAAUACUCCUUAACAGUCAUGGAGCCUUGUCUCAAAUUUAUGAAUUCCUCUAUCUUUUCUUCCCUCAUCUCAAGAGAAAAGAACCUGCCCAAAAACGUAUCCUGGAAUAACUGCCAAGUCAUGGAAGCAGCAUCCUUCCCUCUACUUAUCCUCCAUAUCUCCACCCAAUCAUAUGCAACAUCUUUCAUUCGAUAGACCAUUAAUUCAACACUCUCCUCCUCAGUCACGUGCAUAAUCUGGUGAUCUUUCUCACUUCAUCCAAGUACAUCUGUGGGUCUUCACCGACCUUCGACCCAUAGAACUCAGGCAGAUUCAUCCGCAUAAAGUCACGAACCCGAGCUGCAGCAGAAUUAUUCUCUUGCAGAGAUAGAACAGUAGCCUGGGCGUUAGCUUGAGUAUUGGAGGUAACUGCCUGGGCUAACGCCUAAAAAGCUACCCGAAAUUCCGCAUGAGACAUAUGCUCGUUCAAGGGAUCAACGGGUUGAGGUUGCUCUUUGUUUCUACGAGCUCGAUGAGGAGGUUAUUUUUGGUAUAAUAGAGCACGAGUUAAUCGUAGAUAAAGAGAUAGUUGUAGGCACGAUAAACUUUAGAAAGAAAGAAAUAACUUUUCCUAAAAUAUUCCGUAGCCUCUUUCUCAUAGAUAUGGUGCGCUACACACCGAUGAUCAAGACUCUACGUAACACGGCUUUUCAGACUUCCUAGGACUCCUUAAACCUUAGGCUCUGAUACCAAGCUUUGUAAUACCCCAAAAUUCAUCCCAAGACGCCAAACGGUGCUUAGGGCUACACGUAGCCCCAAGCUAACCCUCGGAGCCAGAUACUACCUCAAGGAAUUCAAUUCAACAAUAGUCAUGCACAACAAAGAGAUAUACCACAUCGGGUUCAAGAGAAAUAUAAGAGAAUACUAGACUGUACAACCAAAAUAUAUUGAAUGUCUGUACAUACCAACCCUCUAGUCUGACAAAGCCUCUAUACAUCAAAAUCAAGGAGCCAUUAGGACAAACCCCAAACUGACUCAAACAGUACUGAAAGUUAUAACAACAGAAUGAUAUCACAAAAAUAUAGACACGGUCCUCGAACCAUGAGGACUUACCACUGAGGGAACGUAGUUGAGGCACUCGAAUAUCGCUAACGUGGCUGCAGCUAAGUACCUGAACCUACUUUACUAGAAAAUAUAGCCCAUAGAAAAAUAUAUGGGUCAGCACUUUGGAAUGUACUGAGUUUGUGGGGGUGCAUGCAACAAUACAAAUAUCAUCAUCAAUUUAAUAAAAAAUGCAUAUGUACAAUGAUGGCUCACUUGGCUUGAGUUUGAUUCAAACAUACUUUUCAUGAUCUUAUAGUAAAUAAAUCAUAUGAUAAAAACCUCAUAAAUCAUCAUAAAUAACUCAACUCUUCAACUCAAGACUCGGAGUGACUCGGUGAUUCAAGAAACUCAACUCUUAUGGACAUGGGAGGUUCUUAUAACCGACAUAAACUAUGUGAACUACAUAGAGUCCAACAUUUUACCUUCCUAAGGAGAGAACCCCAUAUUGGUGGGAGCGUCGUACUCUUUCCAGGGAGCACAACCUAAAUUUAGUGAUUACAAUCUCAUACUCGGCCUCUGGCCCACAAUUAUCAGUAUCAAUCCUACGGUGGCACGUAGUUUUAAAAAAAUACCACAUUUCCCGCAUGGUGCUAAAUACUACUCCCAGACACAAGCUCAGGACGCGUUAGAAAAUCCACCACAAAUAUCACAAGGGUCUAUCAUGAAGACCAAAUCAAAUCUCUUUCUCAUUUAUCAAAUCAUAAUUAAUUUGUGGAUUCCUAACCCAACUCAAAUCAAAUCAAUCUUUCUUAACAUCAAAAUGUAUCAAUUCAUUAAAUCAUAACAACAUCAAUAACUUUGAGGAAAUAUCAAGACUCAUUGUAACAACUCAAUCCCAUGAAUCAAUAUACUCAAUAAUCCAAUUUGUCAUAAGGAAGCUUAAAGCUUGACACAUAUCUUGAAAGCACUUGAAAUAUCAACUCAUGGUAGAAAUAUGAAAUUCACAAUAUUAAAUAUCAAGUUAUAACUUGGAAAUUAUAAAAUAAUCAUAUAUAACAAAUCUUGAACAAUUUAUAUUCUCAUAGUCUCAUGAUGAAGUAAUUUGGGUAUAAACCCACUUGCAAAAACAUAUAAAUCCAUAAUAGAAAUCAAAGCUUUGGGCACAAGAACGAAAGGAUUGCUCUUGUUCAAAAUCCCACAUACCUUAAUCUUUGAAAUUGGAUGAAUUCUAGUGCUUAAGACUCUAUCCGCACUUGUAAUAAAUGAUUCUUGAAGCCCACACUAUGAGGAACUUGAUUCUUGAAGAAAUCUUGAAGAUUUAUGGAUGAUUUUUGGAAGACUAAAUUUUCUUGAUUGAAACCCUAAUAUAUUUUCUUAAGAGAAUUGAAAGAGAGAAUGAAGAAAUUAGGGUUUGGAUGGGGAUUCUCAUAUAUAUAGGGGUCUCCAAAAGAUGGAAAAAACCAAAAUACCCUUGCAAAAACGUCCUUUAAUUGCUGAAAAAUUUAGCUGACGACAUUUGUGACAAGUCGUCACGAAAUGUCGUCACAAAAGGGUGGAUUUUAUGAUUUCUGUCUUAAGGUUGAUGACAUUUUGUGACAAGUCGUCACAAAAUGUCGUCACAAAAUAUUGGAUUUUGUGACUUUCUGCUUAUGGUGACGACAUUUUGUGACAAGCCGUCAGGCUUGUGACAAGUCGUCACAAAAUGUCAUCACGAAAUUUUCAAGCUGACAUGCUGGAGUAAAAUGGGUAUAACUCUUUGCUCCGAUAUCAAAUUUUGGUGAAAUUGGUAUCGUUGGAAAGAUAAUUCAAUUAGCUAUCUUUGGUAGAUCAUACGAUCAAUAAUUCAUAGUAUAACGAGAGAUAUGCUCCUUUGAAGUUGAAUAUGACAAUAUCUUCCCAAGAAUUCAAUCGAUAAGGAAUGCUUUGAUUCAGCUAAUCGCUAGGACAUCUUUGAGGCCUUGAUACACAUCACCCUUUCUCAGAAAACAACCAAAGCACUAUAAUUUAUUUUUCAUGAGCCUGAGUCAUGGUUGCACUAUUGGUUAGAGUCUCGGGGUAUUAUAGUAUCGACACCAUCUUCAUGGUCCCUCGACCUUAUCAAUUCGAACCUAUCAAACUUAACUGCGCAAUGCAAGAUCUUAUUUGAAUAAUCAAUGCCUAAUCGGUUAAAAACUGCAUUCACAAAUUCAUUAUACUUUGGGUGUGUUGUCACUAUGACCUUAUUAGUAAUACUAACUCCCACACAUGAAAAUAGAUUCAUCCAUCUGUAUGCACCUUAUUCUUCCUAGCCCAUCUAUGACUUAAUUUGAAUGAACAGAUGAUUAACUUGUUGCAACAGAUGACACAUAUAUUAAAAUCAUCAAACAAUUAUAAGCAUUUGUUACAACAAAUGAUAAAUAUAUUGCAACAGAUGAUUUAUCAAACACACACACACACAUAUAUAUAUAUAUACAUUUGUUACAACAGAUUGACAAUAUGUUAUAAAUUAUAAAACAUAUUAGAUAUAUUUUGUAACAAAUUAACCAUCCGUUGGAUUUAUUUUAAAUCAAUUUUCUUUUUGAAAUAAAAUAAAGAUAAAAUAUUGUAUUUAGAUCCGUUAUUUUAAUUUACAUAAUUGAAAAGUCACCAGUUUUAUUAAAGUAAGGGGUGUAAUUAUACAUAACUCUACUUCUAGAUAUGAAUUAUCCGGAUUUGGACAAGCGGAAACAUCAAAAGCAGAUUCAUGAACUCCGGUGGGAGUUGGGCACCAUGAGAGCAAGGCUGAGAAGGGCCCUGCUGCUGCCGGAUAACGAUUGGUUGGUUGACAAUAAUAAUAAUAGUAAUAAUAAUAAUAAUAAUAAUAAUUAGGCUAUAUUUUUUCUUUUAGCGUAUGUAUUUUCUUUUAUUUUAUCGGAUCUACCUAAGGGAGGAACCUAAUGCAUGUUUUGUUUUUUAUUGUAUAUUUGUAUAUAAUUGAUUCAAAAAUCUAUGUUAGAUCGACUUUGGAUUUUUAAUUCUUAUUUAAUUUUCAUUCUGUCUGUUCCUUAUUCUCAACAUAUCGACGGUUGAAGGUAGGGAUUGAGCAUUUGUGAAAACGGAUGGUUAAUUUGUUGCGACAGAUGAAUCAUAUAUUGCAACAGAUGGUUAUUAAUAAAAAAUAUUAUUAUUGCUAUUGAAAGGGUGAAAAGUCAUGACUUUUCGAUUAUUUAAUAUAAAAAAUAGUUUGUGAAUAAAUAAUAAGGAAAUAAAUGAUAAAUACAAUUUAUAACUGUAGAAAAAUGGUUAUUUAAUUUUAAUAAUUGAUGUUAAUAUUAAAUAGGAGAGAAGUCGUGACUUUUCACCAUUUUUAAUUUUAAUUUAUAUAAAAAAAAGGCACCAAUUUGGAUUAAUUAAGGUAUAUGAUGAUUAUUAAAAAAGAGGUGAACAGUUGUGACUUUUUAUCUAAACAGCUAAUGAAUCAAAUUCCCUAUCUAUUACAACUGAUGAAUCAACUGUUAGAAGAAAUGAAAAAAACUCUUUCAACAGAUGGUCCAUUUGUCGCAACAGAUAUUCCAUAUGUUGGAACAGAUGAUAAAUUAGUUACGACAGAUAGGUUAUCUGUUGCAACAUAUGGACCAUCUGUUGCAACAGGUAAAUAAAACAGUUAUUAUUAAAAGAAAUAAUUAUUGAAAAAGUGAGAGGUCUUCUAUUAUUUAAUUGAGAGAAAAACGAUCAUUUAAUUUUAAGAACUAAUUAAUAUUAAGAAGCUGAAAAGUCAUGACUUGUUACAAUAAUUAAAAAAUCACCAGUUUGAUUUAAUGAAGUCAUUUCUUUUUACUAAAAAAUAAAAAGUCGGCAGUUUGAAUGUAAUUAAUAAAAUGGAGGUGAACAGUUGUACCUUUUUGCCUACCACAUUCAAAUUAAAUCCUCUAUAAAUAGGUCCCUGCUUACUUUUCAUUCUAUUUCACUUUAUUUAUUUAUUGCAUCUUGUCUUUCAUAUUACAUCGUCAACCACUUUUCUUCAAAGAGCAUAUUUCUUUCUCGUUGAGGUAAGUUUUUUUGGAGUGUGUAAAUCUACCAGUUAGUAGUAUUCGUUGUAUUACAUUCAGACUCUUUUUUUUUUUUACCUUUGUAUUAUAUUUUUUGUCUAUUCAUGUGUGUUCUAGAUAUGCCUGAUCCUAGACAUUGCUAUUCUGUACGAUACCGUACGGGAACUUCAGAGUCAGGUUAAUGACCUGCAGUGGGAGUUGGGUGCCGUGAGAGCAAGGAUGCUCCGAGAGAUAGGAGGGUCCUGCUACUGCCGACUGCCGAUUGACCGGCUGACAACAACAACAACAACAACAACAACAACAAUAAUAAUAAUAAUAAUAAUAAUUAGGCUAUGCUUUUUUGUUUUAGCGUAUGUAUUUUUGUUUUUCUAUAUCGUAUCUACCUACCUAAUGUAUUUUGUUUUUAUUUAAUGAAAAAUUUAUGUUUGGUCUAGUUUGCUUUUUUAAUUCUUAUUUAAUUUUUAUUCUGUUUAUUUCUUCUUCUCAACAAACAUGUCGACGAUUGGAUGUAAGGAACAAUUUUGAAUCUAGUAGCAAUAGCAAGAGUUUUGAGUUCUUUCAACAGAUGUACCAUCUGUUGAAACAGAUUGGUUAUCUGUUGGGUUUAUGGCGAAAACUGUAUUGUGUUGUUCCAAACAGAUUACCCAUCUGUUGCAACAAGUGACUAAUCUAGUUUAACACAUGAGUCCUCUGUUGCACCAGAUAACUCGUCUGUUGCAACAGAUGACCAUCUGUUUGAUUCAUGUUACGGGCACUAUAAAAUCAUAGACAUGAAUCCAACAUAUGAGUCUUCCAUUGCAACAGGUGACGCAUCUGUCGCAACAGAUGAGUGAUCUAUUUAAACAGAUAACUCUUAUAUUGGAUUCAUGUUCGGGUUUUAUUCAUUGUUGAAAAAAUAGCAGUAGCAAUGUACCCAGAUUACAAAUUCAGCUAAAAAUCAUAAUUUUACUUACCAAAGUCACCUAUGAAGUAAUGCCAAAGUGAUGUAUGAAACAAAAUUUGACCUAAAAAAUUGGUCAAGUACCAACAGUAGCAGUAAAAACCAACAAUAAUGGUCAACAAGAAGAAGAUAGAGGUGAUAAUGAAGAAGAUGAUGAUGAUAAUGAAGAAGAACAUGAUGAAUAAAGUAGCAAUAAUAAUGAACAACAAAAAUUGUGAAGAGAGAGAAAAUAAUAAUGAAUGAGAAGAGAGAGAAAUACAUCUUUUUUUUCCCUCUAUUUUCUGAUAUAUUAAGUUAAUAUUUGGAUCAAACUAUAAAUUUAAAAACUUGUGAAUUAUUCUCAAACUUUUUCAACUUUCCUAAUCCGUAAUAAAGUAAUUUAAAACUCUAAGAUACAAUUUUCAAAAUGGUAAAACAAUUAAAAUAUGCGAAAACACCAAAAGAGUCCUCAAAAUAGAAGUUCUGGUGGUAAAUUAAGAAAUUACAAAUAGGCAACAACCAUCCAAUAUUCAACUUAGGGAUGUGCAUCGGUCGGUUCGGUUCGAUUUUAUGUGUUAUUGGUUCGAUUUAUCGGUUUUUGAUUUUUAAAUAUGUAAAACCAAUAACCAACCAAUAAGAUAUUUUCUUAUCGGUUUUGAUUUAUCAUUUUUUGGUCCUUAACGAUUCGAUUUUCGGUUUAACCAAUAAGAAAAUACUUAUAAAAUAGAAAUAGUAAUAACUAACAUAAAAAACGAAAUCUUAGUUACCGUCAAAAUCCUACGCAAUACAUUUUAAUUUACAAGAAUCUUCAAACUCGAACUGAAUGUUAGUUAAAAUAAAAAUUAAAUCUUAAUUGUUGGAAGCUAUAAAUGCUUCAAGCUUUUCAAUACGAUAAUAGUCGAGCUUUAUAUUGUACCUUUGUUGCUCUGAAUAAAUUAAUACUCUGUGAAUCAUUUAAUUAUAAAUAAGUAGUACAUAUAAUAUAUAUGUACAUAUACAUAUCUAUCUAUCUCUAUGAAUAGAUAUACAGAGAGAUAUUUAUACAUAUAUAAAAUAAAUAGCGAUAAAAUAAUAAUAUAGUGUAUCCUUAUUAGGUAAACUAAAAUCGAAAUCAAACCAUUUAUUCAAUAAAUAUUUUAUAAAACCAAUAAAAAAUCAUUAAUCCAAUAACCCAAUACCAAUAAACUAAUAAUAUUCUUAUGAUUUAAUUUAUGAUGCUUCAAUUUUUGCACACCCCUAAAUUCAACCGAAGCUGUAACAAUAGUCUGUAUACAUACCCUGAGAAAGGCCAUCACUUUUUCUUCUCUCAUCAUCUUCGAUCAUCUAUUCAUAUUCAUCUCCUAACGCCUUCUCCAAAAUCCAGUAAGUAUUUAUUACUUGUACAACACUGUUUCUUUCCUACAAUUUCCUCACUCCCCUAUUAUUCCGGAAAUUUGUUAUUUGUUGCAACUUUUCAUAUUUAUUGUUGUUAUUAUUAUUAUUAUUAAAGAUUCUAGGGCUUCACCAGUUGAUUCAAGAGUCGCUGGGUUUAUUGCCAAUCGUCAAUUCAAUAGUUUUUCUGGUUUAAGAUUCAGGUCACUUGUUAAUUUGCUGCUAUUCUUUUCUCGAUUCAACAAGUUGGUGUGAUUGAUUCUUUUUUAUUUUAAUAUAAUUAAUCAAAUGCUGAUUUUGAUUUAAACCGACCCUUUUCAAGAAUGAGAGUUCUUUUGUGUAUACUGAGGCCAACGUAUUUUCUGAUGUGUAUCGCUAAAGUUCUUGUCUCUUGUUGCUUUCCUUUUUUUUUUUUUUUGAUAUCACCAUGGUGUCGGGCCAGCUAGCGCACUAAUUCCAUGGGCCACCUCCCACUUGGAACAGUUACCAACUAACUCUGGCUACCUAGGCUAGAACAAUUAGGUGCUAUAAUUCCCCUCGCCCUGUUUGGAGUUCAAUAUUUUUGUGUAAGUAGAUAGGACAUAAACAGUGUGAUUGAUGAUGCUCAUUGAGAUUCAGCGGAGGAAUGCUGCAAUAGGGUAUUUGUUUUAUUGAACUUUGUCAAAAAAUUUAAUGAAUGCAAUGCAUUGUUGAUAAUUCAUUUGCUUGUUUCCUUGUCAUUAAUAAGUAGUUUGUCGUUACGUGAAAGUUUGUACCUUCAUUUAUUAAUUAAUUCUGUCUUAUAGCAACAAAGUUGUUACUAAACGUGGAAACUGCACGCUAAACUUUUCAAUUUAGUUGAUUGUGAAAGCUUAAAGCAUGUAAAUUCUAGAUUGUUUGCUAAGAGUUAUGUACUUCUUGGCAUUGAGAAAACUUCCCUUGGACACAUAGAAGUUUUGAGUCUCAAAAUUGAGACAACAUCAAUAAAAAGAUGCAAGAAGAUUUUGAAAUCACUUACUGUUGAUUUGAGUAGUGUCAAGAAUGAAACAAAUAGCUGUUUUGUUGUAUUCAAUUAAUUGAAUUAAGUGGUAUUUUCUUUAGAUCUAAUAAAUCACAGCAACUCAAUUUUGAUACCAGUGUCACCUCAGCCUCAUGCCAGUUUAAUCUCAUCAUUUUUGUAAUUAAAAAUCUCAAAGUUGCUUCGCUUUUGCUGUGUAGCUGCAUUUAGUUUUCCUUAUCAAAUGUCAACUCAAAUAUAGGGUAUGAUAUUGAUGGAGGAAGUUUCUAGGUUUCUAAGAUCCACCCUCUAUGAUGAUGCCGAGUAUGAUUGGUGAUUAUAGAGGAAAAUAGUGCAGGAGUGGGGGAAUGAUGUUGAUCAUCUUAUCAGGAGCUGUUCACCUGAGCAUAUCCGAAUGAUGUUGAUCAUCUUAUUGGGAACUUCACCUGAGCAUAUCCGCUUAGGAUCGGAUUGAGUGUUUUGUCUUCACAUGGGGUCAAGGCAUGCUCGAGAUAAACGAUUUACAAAUAUUAUUUUGUCAAUGUAUGUGCGAUCUGAAAACUAUCAAUUGUGAUCUUGUUUUGAGAUCAAAAUGGUAUGAUCUUGCUAUUAAUGGAUCCGCUACUUGUGUGUGGUUACCAUCAGCAUUCCAUGUCUGGACUUCCAUGGUCUCUAUGUUAUUUCUAUGUGAAUCAAAUCAUUGACUAAAUCAAGUUUUUUAAUUUACAAGUACAGCUGUUGCUUUGAGACGGUCAACUCUGCCGGAGACAUUUUGCACCGCAUUACGCAUGGCAGCCGUUUUGCAAUGAGCUGAAGUUCAUCCAUCAAAUUCACUUAAAAGAAGUAUGUUUUUUUACUGAUUUCUUUAUUUGAUGGGGCUUGGUUAUAUUUUUCGUAACUUCAAAGCUAGCCUUCUAUCACCAUCCUUGAGUGAUUUUUUUCCCCUGCGGCCCAUUAAUGUGUGCCAACAGGCUCAUUGACUAAUUUUUGUAAUUAUGAAUGAAGUGCCAUAUAGAUUUGAUGAGCUACUUGAUCAGGACUUUGAUUCCCUUGGAAAUAGUUGCAUCUUGUCAGGUUUUCAUUUGUCUGAUCCAUAUGAGGUCACGAUUGACACUGUCGAAUGCUAAGAUUGAGAAGAAGAAGACUGAUGGAAAAUUAAAAAGUUACUAUAAAAGACCAAAUUAUUCCUAGUAACUAAUCCAUUAAUUAAAAAUUACCUGUGAGUAUAUUUAUGAUAAGUUACCUGUGGGUAUAGUGGCUAUGUUAAAGUGAACUUGGCUGCAGAUAUUGGAAGGGAAUAGCAAAGGUGAAAUUCAUUAGUAAAGACAGACAAACCAGCGGACUAGCUGCUGGGAAAGGGAGGUCCAACAGAUCAGAGACCAGAGAGUAAAGAUAAGAGAGAAAAGAAAGAAUCUAGACAGAAUUGAACAAUCUAGGUGCUACCAGUGAAGUGGAAAGAAUAGUGUAAAAGUAGGAUGAUGUUGGUUCUGCCAACAAGGUUUCGAUGAAGGCAAUGGUUACUUUGGUGUAUCUGAAUCGAUGCUGGUGGCUACUUCAUAUAAUUCUAAUUAUCUAGUUUCUGAUUUCAGACUUUUACCUCCCAUUGGCUCAUGAUGUAUCAAAACAAUCUCCCACUCCCUAACCAUUGUUGCAGAAAUUUGAACACUGAUCCUCUUUUAUAUAUUGGUAGCCACAUUAAGAAAAGCCAAACACCAGUAAAACCCAUAAUGCUGAACCUUCAUUUUGUGGUUAAAAAGUACGAUUGGAUAUAACACUUCUUCCAUUUGGAUUAUUACAGCUCAAUGGAUCAUCACAUACUAUUGAAGCAAUGGAUGGUUUAGUGCCCUUAAGUAUAUGAUAUGCUUAUCUAUUUCUUUUCUGUAUAGGCUAAUUGGGCAGAAAUUAUUGUAUUUUCCUUUUUUUUUUGCCCGUGUACUUGUUAAUACUUAUUUAGGUUAUGAUUGUCGAAGUUGGAGUCACCUAUGCUGAAAAUAUAGAUAAAGAAUUUAUUGUUUUUAUCUUAAAAUAUUGCUGUCAUGGGGAUUUUCUGAUUUGAGUAAUCGAAAGCCAUGUCCUGAUGUCACCUUGGUACGGUAAGAUACUCAUGAAUGUCAAAAGCAAGUAAAUGUAAUGUUGCUCAGUAAUAAUUAGCCGGUCAGAGGAUGCUGGAUACCAAACAACAACAACAACAAACCCAGUGUAUUCCCACCUAGUGGGGUCUGGGGGGGUAAGAUGUACGCAGUCCAUACCUCUACCUCUGAUGAAGUAGAAAGGCUGUUUCCGAAAGACCACCGGCUCAAGGCACGAGAUACCACACAAACACAUAGUAAAGCACAGAAGCAGAUUACAUAACAUAAAUACGGCACUCAUAAGUAUUAUAAAACAGAGGAAAGCAGAGGAAAGCACACAGAUUCGUAAUAAAACAUGGAACACAGAACACGGAAUCAUAACAGGAAUAAAACCCCCACCAAGUAAUUCCCUAACCAAUUACCUCCCUACAUUAGCGACCCGAACAGGCCCUAAUCCUCUGCCGUAAUUCGCGUCUUCCAGACCUUCCUAUCUAGGGUCAUGUCCUCGGUGAGCUGUAACUGUACCAUGUCCCGCCUAAUCACCUCACCCCAGUACUUCUUCGGCCUACCCCUACCCCGCCUAAAACCAUCCAACGCUAGCCUCUCACACCUACGGACCGGGGCAUCCAUGCCCCUCCUCUUCACCUGUCCAAAAUAUCUCAAUCGUGCUUCCCGCAUCUUGCACUCCACUGAAGUCACACCAACCUUCUCCCGAAUAGUCUCAUUCCGAACUCUAUCCCCUCUAGUCAGUCCACACAUCCAGCGCAACAUCCGCAUUUCUGCCACCUUCAUUUUUUGGAUGUGGGAGUUCUUAACUGGCCAACACUCCGCUCCAUACAACAAGGCCGGACGGACUACCACCCUGUAGAAUUUGCCUUUAAGCUUGGACNNNNNNNNNNNNNNNNNNNNNNNNNNNNNNNNNNNNNNNNNNNNNNNNNNNNNNNNNNNNNNNNNNNNNNNNNNNNNNNNNNNNNNNNNNNNNNNNNNNNNNNNNNNNNNNNNNNNNNNNNNNNNNNNNNNNNNNNNNNNNNNNNNNNNNNNNNNNNNNNNNNNNNNNNNNNNNNNNNNNNNNNNNNNNNNNNNNNNNNNNNNNNNNNNNNNNNNNNNNNNNNNNNNNNNNNNNNNNNNNNNNNNNNNNNNNNNNNNNNNNNNNNNNNNNNNNNNNNNNNNNNNNNNNNNNNNNNNNNNNNNNNNNNNNNNNNNNNNNNNNNNNNNNNNNNNNNNNNNNNNNNNNNNNNNNNNNNNNNNNNNNNNNNNNNNNNNNNNNNNNNNNNNNNNNNNNNNNNNNNNNNNNNNNNNNNNNNNNNNNNNNNNNNNNNNNNNNNNNNNNNNNNNNNNNNNNNNNNNNNNNNNNNNNNNNNNNNNNNNNNNNNNNNNNNNNNNNNNNNNNNNNNNNNNNNNNNNNNNNNNNNNNNNNNNNNNNNNNNNNNNNNNNNNNNNNNNNNNNNNNNNNNNNNNNNNNNNNNNNNNNNNNNNNNNNNNNNNNNNNNNNNNNNNNNNNNNNNNNNNNNNNNNNNNNNNNNNNNNNNNNNNNNNNNNNNNNNNNNNNNNNNNNNNNNNNNNNNNNNNNNNNNNNNNNNNNNNNNNNNNNNNNNNNNNNNNNNNNNNNNNNNNNNNNNNNNNNNNNNNNNNNNNNNNNNNNNNNNNNNNNNNNNNNNNNNNNNNNNNNNNNNNNNNNNNNNNNNNNNNNNNNNNNNNNNNNNNNNNNNNNNNNNNNNNNNNNNNNNNNNNNNNNNNNNNNNNNNNNNNNNNNNNNNNNNNNNNNNNNNNNNNNNNNNNNNNNNNNNNNNNNNNNNNNNNNNNNNNNNNNNNNNNNNNNNNNNNNNNNNNNNNNNNNNNNNNNNNNNNNNNNNNNNNNNNNNNNNNNNNNNNNNNNNNNNNNNNNNNNNNNNNNNNNNNNNNNNNNNNNNNNNNNNNNNNNNNNNNNNNNNNNNNNNNNNNNNNNNNNNNNNNNNNNNNNNNNNNNNNNNNNNNNNNNNNNNNNNNNNNNNNNNNNNNNNNNNNNNNNNNNNNNNNNNNNNNNNNNNNNNNNNNNNNNNNNNNNNNNNNNNNNNNNNNNNNNNNNNNNNNNNNNNNNNNNNNNNNNNNNNNNNNNNNNNNNNNNNNNNNNNNNNNNNNNNNNNNNNNNNNNNNNNNNNNNNNNNNNNNNNNNNNNNNNNNNNNNNNNNNNNNNNNNNNNNNNNNNNNNNNNNNNNNNNNNNNNNNNNNNNNNNNNNNNNNNNNNNNNNNNNNNNNNNNNNNNNNNNNNNNNNNNNNNNNNNNNNNNNNNNNNNNNNNNNNNNNNNNNNNNNNNNNNNNNNNNNNNNNNNNNNNNNNNNNNNNNNNNNNNNNNNNNNNNNNNNNNNNNNNNNNNNNNNNNNNNNNNNNNNNNNNNNNNNNNNNNNNNNNNNNNNNNNNNNNNNNNNNNNNNNNNNNNNNNNNNNNNNNNNNNNNNNNNNNNNNNNNNNNNNNNNNNNNNNNNNNNNNNNNNNNNNNNNNNNNNNNNNNNNNNNNNNNNNNNNNNNNNNNNNNNNNNNNNNNNNNNNNAAAUCCAUAACCAAGAGCUUAUGCUGGGUCGAAAGAUUCUCACUCGGGAUGACCUUACAGUCCUUACACCACGCCCUAUCCCCUUUCCUAAGCAACAAAAAGUCAAUCUGAGUCCUGGCUAUCGCGCUUCGAAAGGUGAUCAGGUGCUCGUCCUUCUUCGGGAAGCCCGAGUUCACCACCACCAGCCCAAAGGCCCUCACAAACUCCAAUAGGGUCGCCCCCUCUUCAUUUCUCUCCCCAAAACCAAAAACACCAUGCACAUCACCAAAGCCUCCCGGUAGCGCCCCGAUGUGCCCGUUGAAAUCCCCUGCUACAACAAUCUUCUCCGAACUAGGCACGCCUCUCACCACCUCUUCCAAAGCCUCCCAAAACCGCAUCUUCUCCUCCCCCUCCGAUCCCACUUGCGGCGCAUAAGCACUACACACGUUCAGGGUAAACCCCCGAAUGACCAACUUAAUAGUCAUCAACCUAUCGUUGAUCCUCUUCACCUCCACUACCUGACCUCUAAGCUCUUCAUCUAAGCUCCAAAACGUGCAAAUUUCUGUAUUUGGUGAUCUUUGGAUUAUCCUUUGCAUCUCUUUUGCUUUCCUAUCUUCUUAUCCUUCACUCUUUUAGAAUUUUCUAGGGAGGUGGGAGGGCUGUUUGAAGAAUUAGUGAAUAGGUACUACUUUUGGUAUGAAAUAUAAAGCAUUAGAAAAUAGGGUGUUAAACUUAUUGUGCUCCUACAUGUGCCUAUCAUUUUCAUGCUGUGGUGGUUUCAUAUUUAGUUCUCCUGUAUAAUGACAGUGGUAUGCUGAACGGUGAUACUGUUUACUUUUCCUGCUGUGGUUCUUGAAGUUUAUAUUUUCUUCAUGUCCCACAUUACUAAUAUACAAGCACUAUUCCUACAGAUAUCAAGAAUUUAGCUAUUAAAGCCUGUUGGUUUGGAAGGUUUAAACAUGCCUUCUCUUCAGCUUCUGCAGUUGACUGAACAUGGGCGGGGCCUUCUGGCUUCUAAAAGGUAUAUAAUAUUUUCUCCAUUUUGUGCUGCUAGUUCAUAUCUUUUUUCUUGUGUCAUUGCAUGUCUAGUUUUGAAAUACCAAAAAUAAUAGCCAAAAGAAAAGAAUGUUGCCAAAAUUUUCUGACACUAGGGCUUUGUCCAUCUCUUUUCUUUUGAUAAUAAGUAAUGAAACCUUACUUUCCCAAAUCAACAACAACAACAUCAUACCCAGUGUAGUCCCACAAAAUGGGGUUUGGCAGAAGCAUAUUCAGCUAUGAUUCAAGUCCUCUUACUUUCAUAUCAGAAGUUUCUGCUUAUUAACUGAUUUUUACAUGCGUUUAUUUUUAACAUCUUCAGCUAUGAUCAUCCAUUUCCUCUAAGUUGCUUGCUUAAAGAUUUAACUUGUUAUUUGUUUGUAUUAUCAAUGAUGUACAUUUCUUAGAAUUAACUCUUGUUUUAUUUUAAAUCCAGAUGAGCAUUCAGUAAACACUAUCAGUCAACUGAAUGACUUGUGCAUUAAACCAUUCGUUAUUUUCAUUUAUUAUAUUAGCAUUUAUACUUUUUCUGAUCCAAUUUAGGUUUUUUCGAAUCUACAGUCUUAAACUUGACACAACUCUUAAAGUUGAUACUUCCUCCAUCCACUUUUACAUGUCUACUAUUCCUAAUUAAAUUUUCACUUUUAUGUAACUUUUAACAAAUCAAGCAGGAUCAACAAGCAUAACAAGCUUUUAGCUUUUACACUGAAGCCUCAACAACCCGAUGCAUAAUUUUGUAAACUUUGCCUGGAAACUAGCAUACAAAAGCAAUAUUGAAGCAAUCCAGCAAAGAACCAACAGGAACCAAAGGAAGCUUGUAAAACCUUCUCAAUGAAUGCAUACUAAUAAUAGGGGUUCUCCAGAGUUUUAAAUACACUACAACAUACCCAAUAUAUUCCCACAAAGUGGGGGACUGGGGAGCGUAAAGUGUACGCAGUUUGUACCACUACCUCCGAGGUGAGGUAGAGAGGCUCUUUUGGAAAGAUCCCCGGCUCAAGACAAAAAUAUUCUAGAGGACAUAAUAUAAGAACAAGGAACAGUAGGUAGAAAUAAACAACAGAUAAUAAAAAAUAAGCCUACCACAAAAUAGUACCGCACUCGACCUCUCUGAAACAACAUACAUCUCUAAAACUCCAAAAUCAAGACCCUACAAGCAAAGCGCUAUGACAACUAACAUAGAUAACAAGACAAAGCACACCUAUCUACUAGCACAGAUGCACUCCUACCUACUACCCAACACAUGUACUUAAGAUAUUCCCCAUGUAAAGAACAUAUGAAGGAGUUACUGAAGUAAGAAUCAAGAAGAGAUGUUCCGAACAAAUUGACUCAAUCGCCUCAGACAUAUUGCUAUUUUCACAAAAUACUUAACAUUGUCACAACCCAACGGCUGGUUAAGUGUAUAUAAAUUCCUUCUAUAGUUUUGGACAAUCUUCAUAACUUGAAUUAGCUUUUGUGGUUGAUUCGGGCGCAACAUUCAUUUUCUCAACAUGAUGGUAUCAAAGUCUGGCAUAUCCUUGAUGUUGGAUACCCAAUGUUGGGUCCUAUGUUAUAUUAGUCCACUUUCUAGAUAUUCAGUCUUGAGUGUGCAGUUUAGGGGAGUUAGAUACAUGGGCCUAUAUGGGUUGUAUCCUCUUGAAAGGUCUUGGACAAUUCUCAUUACUUGAGCUAAAUUUUUAAAUUUAGCUAGACCCAGUGUCAGCUAUCUCAAGAAAUUUAUUUCCAAAUAUUUAACCUACUGUGUCUUCCGUCUCAAAAUAUUUUGACCUAUUUCGCUACAUGAAUUAUUUUUCCUCUAACCAUAAUAACUAAAAGUAUUAUAGACCAAUACUGACUAAUAUAAACUAAUCUUUCAGAGCUAUCUAUAAAUUAAUACAUAUUUUAUAUCUGAGAAAUCCUCGAGGGCCAGUGGUGCACAAACAAGGACUCGGUGAAUAAUGCCCCCUCUACCCUCCCCACUUAUAUACCAUGUUUUUGUCUAACGCAAGGUCCAACUAGUGUCAUGCGCCUAAUCCAUACAUCAUGUGAUGCGUUCUUACUGCUAGACCAAAGCUCUAGAUCAAAAGUUAAUAUAUAUAAUUUAUACAAUUUCAAACUUGAAAUAACACUGUUUCAAUGAACUGCUUCACCUUUUCACAUUUUAAACUAUUGCUUUCUAUGUUCAGAUUACACUAGACCUAAUUUAACCCAAGGUUGUUAAAAGUAAAAAUAUGAAGAAGCAUAAUGUUGGGUAGGUUUGGAAAGUGUUAGAAUUAGGUUUGAAAUGUGAAAAAGCAGAACGGGUAGUUAGUGAUAUAUCAAAUAAAGCGUGGAAGAAUAUAACAUUCAAUAGCUUAUGAGUCUUUGAACUGUUAUAUGCAAAAAUUAUUUCCAACUAAGAAAAUCGAGUCUUUUGUGAUGACCAAAAGACAAUUUUUAUUUUUAUUUUUGUAUGUUUUACCUUUAACACUGGUAAUUUGUUCUCCAAAAGACCUAAUAGAAGUAUCAGAAAGAUGUGAAUCCAUUAUUAUGAAAUAUAGAAUAGGAGAAGUAUCAAAAAUUAUAAUAAAUUACAUGUACAUUAUUUUACAACCUAACCGUAAACUAAUUAAGUACUAAAUUCUACAAGUAUUAAGACCUUCUUCAACAUGCUGUUGGAGUUGACAAGGGUUCUGCUAACCUUAAAAACUUCUACGCAGAAAAACAUAGAAACUUCUACACAUGAAAGCAAAUGUAUGGUAGAAUAAACGUAAAAAAAUUUCUAUGCAGAAAAAUAAAAUGAAAGCAAGCAGAUUUAUAAUGACAUGUACUUAAGAGCGGAAUACAAAUACAAACUUACAACUUUGAACAAUGGUAGAAUAGUAAGAUUAAAAAAAUGGUUAUGGACAAAAAGAAGUACCUUUCACGUCGAAACAAUGGAAAAAACACGAGCAAAAAGAAAACAUAUAAAAAUCAGUAAAAAACAUAGGAGAUAGAAGAACGAAGAAAAAAGGGAGCAAAACCAUCAAACCUAGAAGAAGAGAAAAAAACAUAGAAAACGUAGGGUAGGAUAUUUGGGUGGAGUAGAUAAUAUUGCGCAAGGGCAAAAUAGAAUUAUGUAAUAUUAAGUAAAGGCAUGAUUGGAAAGAGAAACUAGAUAACAAUGGGAUUAUGCCAAAUCAUUUGUUACAUAAAAUAGGACUUUUCGUUGUUACCUAACCACAAAAUCAAACCACGAUGCAAUAUGUUUUAAGUAACAAUCAAAACAAACAUGGUAUUGUUAGUAAUGAUAGCAUACAAUACCAUGGAUAACAACUAUCCAAACAAGACAUUAUAGUUGCUGCAAUGUUGAAGGUCACACUUAUUCUUGUACAAUAAUCGUACUCCAUCUCUAUUCUUUGGACAUUUUUGUCGGCUUUUAAAAGCCAUAUUAAACCCUGCCUGGGCUUUUUCAAAAUUCCACCGAGAUCUCGUUUGACCUGAUUGCUCUUCCUUUGCUCAUCUUACGAAUAACCCCCUCAACCUUUUCAACCUUUAUACGCCUACAACACCCAAAAUUGCGACUCUGAGUUCUCUAAAUCCUCAACACAAUGUCCUUGUCUCCUUCAUUCAAGAGUUUAUGGAAGUAUGACUGCCAUCUCUAUCUAAUGAGUGCCUCCUCCAUUGGUACCUUGUCGUCUUUGUCCUUGGUGCACUUCAUCCAAAUUGCUGACCCCUGUUUCUCUCGCCUUGGCUAGCUUGUACAAUUUUUUAUCCUUGCCCUUAGGGGCGGAGCUACUAUGUUACGUGGGGUUUCGGACAAACCCAACAACUUCUACGCAGGCCUUGUACUUGCAUUAAGAAUUUUAGUAAAUAUAUAUAAUUAUGAUGUCUCUCUACCUCGCCUGUGAGGUGUUGGUAUGGACUGCAUACAUCUACCCUCCCUAGACCCAACUUUGUGUGAUUAUACUGGGUGUGUUGUUGAUGUAUAUAUAAUUAUGAUAGCGCGAAUCCACUAGCAAUAACAACUAGAUGCUUCAGUAGUAGAGUAGACCUUGGAAAGGUUUCGUGUCAUCAAUUGCGGGUUUGAAACCCACAGCCAACAGUUCAAUUUUUUCUAUUUUGCAGCUUUCUUUUUAAAACCUUCACGGUUUCUUUUUUCUCCAUGUGCGUUUUUGGGAAAUAUAUGUAAAUUUAUUUUAAAAAGUUAUUUUUAAAAAUAAAACAUAAAACUAAUAGUUAGAAAAAGAAAAAAGCAUAUAUAUAUAUGUNNNNNNNNNNNNUUCUAAAUUAAUAUUAUAAUAAUAAUCAUAACAAUUAAUGUGACAUCUUUUGAAUUUUGAAAUUUAAAUAAAUUUAUUUUUAAAGUAAUUUUUGCAUAUAUUCUUAAAAUAUUUUAAAUUAUCAAUAAUUAUGAUUUAUUAUUGAAAUUUAUAAUUUUAUUUCAAAAAUUUAAUUCACGAUCAAAAUUAAACUCUACAAAUGUAUAAAUUAAUAUAGAGUGUGAAAAAAAUUUCGAUGGGUCUAUAUUACUGUUUUUCAAAUAACAUGAGCUCAAUAUAUGUUAUUUUUUUAUCUCAAUUUAUGCGACACAAAUAGAAUUUAGAUAAUUAAUCAUACUUUUAAUACGUGUUUAGAUAUUUUAAGCUGUUAACUAUUGUAAUUCAUAAUAUUUAUUUUAGUUUUCAAAUAAUAUAUGUUACUCUCCUUGUCCAAAUUUUUGUGGUGUUGAUAGUCAAUUAUAUUUUAAAAAUAAUUUAAUUUUUUAAUUAUUGUGAUUUGUAAUGCUUUUUUUCUAUUCCAAUUUAAGUGGCACUGAUAUAAUUUCGAGAGUCAAUCAAAUAUUUUUCAUCUUUUAAAUUUUUUAAGUUGUUAUUUAUUGUGAUUUAUAAUAUUUUUUUAUGUAUUUUUUUGAAAUAUAUAACAAAUUAUUUUUUUUUAGAUAUUUUAAGUUGUUAACUAUUGUAAUUUAUUAUACCUUUUAUGUAAUUUUCGAAUAAUAUAUAUUACUCUCCUUGUAAAAAAUGUUGUGGAAUUGAUAGUCAAUUACAUUUUUUAAUUAAUCUAAGAUCUUAAUUAUUGUGAUUUAUAAAACUUUUGUUUAUAUUCCAAUUUAAGUGGCAUAAUGCUUAGACCAUAAUAAUUAAUUAGAAGUGUUAUAGUAAAAUUACGAUUGAAGCAGCGAAGCAAACAUGUCUUAAAUGACUCACAACAACUAAUUAGAAGUGAUAUAACAAAAUUAUUAUAAAAAUACUUGUAAAAAAAUUAAGUGGGUCUCAUAUAAGACGUGAAGUUAAUUUAAAACAUCGAGAGUUAACUUAUCAUUUAUAUCUAUUUUACCUUUUUUUAUAAAAUAUAUAUAUUUUUUAAUAUUUAGAUGAAUUAUAAUAAUUAAUUCGAGUGGUAUUUAGUAAAAUUAUGAUUGAAGCAACUGAAGCAGACAUGUCAUAAAUGUCUAUUUUAUUUUUUAAUUAAAUAUUAUUAAUUUUGUUAAUAUGUAAAUAACUUAUAAUAAUUAAUUAGGGGUGAUAUAGUAAAAUUACGAAGCAAGCAGCUGAAGCAGGCAUGUCGACGGAGAGAAGCCUGCAUCAGCUGCCCAACUCGCUCUUAUAUAAUCAGAGAAUAUAUAUAUAUAUAAUGUUUGAAGUGUUUGUUGCCUUUUAAAAUAUAUUUUGAGUUUUGUACACAUUCAUUAGUUUGGUGGAUAUUAUAUAUUAAUUUGAGGUUGUUGCCCUGUCGUAAAACUCGGAACCCAAAUCCUUAAAUCCUGGCUCUGCCUCUACCUGCCCUUGUUCUCUAAUUUAGCAUAUAGGUUUUCAUUAGCUGCUGUUGUCUUUGCCAUCGCAACCGCUAACUUUGCCUUGUUAAACUUUUUCGCAUUCAUCUUCUUUUCUCUACCUUCCCUUCCCUUAGACUUCUCUGUUCCACCACCAGUCUCCUCGAUGCCAACCUAAACUACCUCUCGAGACCCUAUGACCACUCUGCUUUCGUAAUGCAACUAGAAGUCCUAUCACACAUGCUAAUUCACAUCACUACUACUCCUCAAGCCCCACAACCAUCAAUGUCUCCCCCAUCUCAUGUGCAUUGGCCAUAGUCAAGCAACCACAUUUGAUCCUUGUGCGGUUUCCCAUCUCAUGAGCACUGGCCAUAGCCAAGCAACCCCAUUUGAUCCUUGUGCGGUCAUACUCUUUUCUUCCUCUUCCUCUUGAUCUCCAAAUUCAUUACGAGUUUAUGUUGGUCUUAAGUUUCACUUGGGAUAACCUUGCAAUCUUGACAAAAACCUUUUUCAUCCUUCCUAAGCAAAAAAUAGUCUAUCUGAGUGUUAGCCAGCAUAGUACGGAAGUUACCAAGUGCUCCUCCUUACGGGAAAACAGAAAGGGUGAGAAUGUACACUUUUUUGUGCUUGAAACCAUACCUCUGAACUUCACUUAACGUUCUAUGCAACAUCGUGUUUAUAUAUUCUUGCACGCAUCAAUAUCUUCCAGCAGUGUUUUGAAAACUGUGGCAGAAAUGCGGAUGUUGCGCUGGAUGUGUGGACUAACUCGAGGGGAUAGAGUUCGGAAUGAGACUAUCCGGGAGAAGGUUGGUGUGACUUCAGUGGAGGGUAAGAUGCGGGAAGCACGAUUGAGAUGGUUCGGACACGUGAAGAGGAGGGGCAUGGAUGCCCCGGUCCGUAGGUGUGAGAGGCUAGCGUUGGAUGGUUUUAGACGGGGAAGGGGUAGACCGAAGAAGUACUGGGGUGAGGUGAUUAGGCGGGACAUGGAACAGUUACAGCUCACCGAGGACAUGACCCUAGAUAGGAAGGUCUGGAAGACGCGAAUUACGGCAGAGGAUUAGGGCC